UAAUUUAUGAGUGCCGAUGAAGUAUACUCUGAUUAGGGACAGUGGAAAAAGAGAAGAACAAGAGUGCAAAAUGCUCGAAUGGUUCACGUUUGGGUGAAGGAGAAACUGGGGCUUGUUCAUCACAUCUGUGGCUCGGAACUUGUCUGGAAAAGAAUUUGAGAGAUAUUAUAAUCAGAACCAUGAACUGAAAAAUUGAGAGAAUUGAGAGUUGUUACACAAUCAUACCUCGAGAUAUCGUUUCAAAAGUGUGGUGGUACUGUAAUUGAAUCCUUCGAGAGCGGUGCCUUGAGUGCGUGAUGAAUGAAGCUGCUUCCUCACCUGAGUAGCAAGAACUUUUCCAAGCUCAACUCCCCACUGGUCAAACGAAUUGAUACCCCACACAAAGCCUUGAACUGCUACUCUGUGUUCAUAGAUUGCCAACAACUGAAAACAAAAUAUAAUACAAAAUGUCAGCUUUUUAAAACAAUGACCCUCUCAUCUCAAAUCUAAAGACCGUACCGAUAAACCUGAGAUAGAGACAGACCUGGCCAACAUUGUAAGCAGUCAAUUCUGGAAGUAGAAGGCUAAGAGAAGGUCGAUUUCCGGAGAAUGUCUGUGGACAGAUACCAACAGUUUACCCAAACACGUUAAUAUACCAAAAACAUAGAAGCUUUUUUUGAACAUAGGUCCAAGUUCAUUUUUCACCUUGUGGGGAAUGAGAAAUUCUGAAACAUUCUCUUUCUGCAGCUGUUCAGGUGUCUACAAAAGGCAAAAACAAAAGAGUUUGUUUUAGAACGGAACCUUAAUAAUGCAUCAGUGUCUUCAUCCCAAAUGACCCAAUGUAAUGUCUUACUUUUCCAUAUGCAAGAGCAUCAGGCUGGGCAAAAAAGUUGGACAUUAGCUCGUCGUGGUUACUGACCACCUCUCCUGUGAAUCCAAUUCAGAACUUAUCUUUAAGUAUCGAAGAGAAUGCAUAAAAGAGCUCACAUCAAAUUUACAGCAACCGAAAUGGAAAUGCCUACCCUUCAGAUACACAGGUUGCUGACUCUUCACAAUGCCGAUGAAAUCACAAGGGAUUACGCGUCCCUAAAACAUCAUUUAGAAAGAUUUAGUGCAUUCCUCAUUAGCUUAUCAUGUGAUCUAGAUCCAAAUUUCCACAAAAUCAAAUUAUAUGUAGCAAGUACCUGGUGAAUUAGUUGGUAAAAGCUGUGUUGACCAUUUGUACCAGGUUCACCAAAAUCAAUCUCACCAGUCUCGAACGGGAGAGGUAGACCAUCAAUUGAAACUCCCUUUCCAUUACUCUCCAUACUAACCUGAAAUCAAAUAAUGUCUACGUUAAUACCCCAGUAAACAAUUUUAAUAUUUUCAGGUCAAAAAGCAAAUAUUAAAGCAGCAAAGAUUAAGGAGACAAAAGGAAAACCCAGUUCACAUACCUGUUGUAUGUGUGGAGCAAAUUUCUCAAGGGCUUGCGAGUAAGGUAAGAUGGCCUGAGAAAACAGAAAGAUGUUGAUGGAGGCUGAACAUCUUAAUCUGAGUAGAAAAUUUCAUCUAGCUGUUGAAGGAGUCAAUUCUUACCCUGGCAGGAUAUCCAAGAAAUGAUACAUUCCAUACACUCAAUAACCCUAAAAGCACCUGAAAUUGUCAAAAGCCACCAAAUCAACCUCUCAUUAUGUCUUAGCUACACUAACUACUACUAAUUUAAGGGAGUCUUUAUUUGGGAGUUAAUGGAAAUGCUUGCUUUCAACUGAGUAUAAGCAACGUCUUCACAGGAGAGUGAUUCUAGAGAAGCUCACACACCCAAUGCACAUUUACAUAUUGUUAUAUGAUGACUUCAAGUCAAACGAUUAUCAGAAUAAAACACUCACGGGUAUAUUCUUCUCAAACGGUGUGGACUGGAAAUGCUGAUCAAUGCUUGAAGCUCCCUUCAAAAACCUACCAUCCAAAAAAAAUGACUGAAUAUUGACUGCUUUAUUAUGUACGUUUUCUCUAGAUUUAGAAACAUAGUACAUUACUUUCAAAAUAAAACGGGAAUACAAGAGAAAAGAAGAAACCAUUCAGAUAAAGAAAAAAAAAAAACAGAAUUUACAUCAAUUUCUUUCCUGACAUUUUAUAGUUAGUACAGGUGUAUGUAUAAACUUAUGCAGAUAAAUUUCUCAAGACAGACAUGCAUUACUUCCUAUGCCUAAGAAAUUUUGUGAGAAGGAUAAAAGAUAGAAGCUACCAUACUUCUCAACCACGGAGAAGCCAUACUGCAGAGACAAAGGUAAGACUCCAACAGCACUGCAAACUGCAACAGAAUUUCAGAUAAAGACUAAGUGGAUAUGGGUGAGAAAUAAAUCCAACCAAAUAGACAAGAACUUACCACUGUACCUUCCACCAACCCAGUCCCAAAAUGCAAAUGCAUUGUUCGGGUCAAUACCGAACUUCUCCACUAACUGUUAAACAAAACAUACAUAGUUUAAACAUUUUUCUGUACUGUCUGAAUAUGAAACAUGUAGAAGGAGGUAGAAAUAAAUCAUAAUUUCAGGAACAUCGAGACUACCAUAGUCCAUUAAACCUGGUAGAUAAUUCAGUUUCUAACAAGACAGAUUAACAUGUCCAUCUGAUUUACAUAAUCAGAAAGACUCGAGUUUAUGUAUUUCUCGGUUUAACUGUCCUAAGAUGGACAAUAAGGAAAUACAUUCCCCAAAAUAAACUAUAGAAAAUGCAUACCGCAAGAUUAGUGCUGACAGCAACCAUGUGUUUUGCAACAGCUGAAGCCCUGUGAAGUUAUCACAUGUUAAAUGAAUGAUGUUAUAUUCACAAUAACCAAAACAUGGUAGAAUAACAGAAUUGCUUGUAAAUGUAUAAGCAUAAAUGCCUUUCUCUGGCGAUAAUGUGUAACAUGUACAAUAGGGUGUCACAGAUACUUUCUCUAGAUAUGCACAAACAGGAAGCCAACAUGCACAUAGUCAAAGUAUGUGUGUAUUCAUGACUACAAGAUUGAGGGCAGCUAAGAGAGAGGAGUGAAAGAGAGAGAUACAACUCUGGUCAUGAUAAUUGUAAUUUUCUAACAAAACAAGAUUAGGAUGCCAGAAAUACCAACCCAAGAGCAGCUGUUAUCCAUUCCCUCAAUGUCCUAGCGUUCAACAUUGUCUCUGCUGUUGUAAAUGUUUUCGAGACCACCACAACUGGAUUACAAGUAUUCUCAGGAUUAGUUAGAGUAAACAUCCGUCAAUGGAAAUUAUAAAGGUGCAAUUGUUAAUAGGUUUGAGCAUGAACCUAGAGUAGUUUCUGGAUUUAGUCCGAUGAUAUUUCUAGCAACAUCAACAGGAUCAAUAUUCGCAAGGCUGCAAAAAAAAGAAACACAAGUUAAUUCCAGGUAAGGCAUACACAUAGAAUGGAAUCAAAUGAAUAACUAGAAGCUAACAAUUUCAAUACAGCCUCCUCUUACAAGUUAACUGAAAUUUAGACAAACAAGGAGUAUGUGCUAUCUACGACAAUACUGGUGGAUAAAACAAUAUAUAUUUAGGAAUUUUCGUGGACCUUCAGGAGAAACUUCAAACUGUGGUGACAAGCAUAUCAAUUAAGAAGCUCAUUCGUUAAACAACCAAAGCAUUGAGAAAAGAAACACAGAAAAAACUAUGUAUGGAACUAUAUAACUACAGGUAUGUAGUGCUUACAAUCGCAGCUGGCGUCCUUUAGCAGACUCUAGAGCUUCAGGGUCUGAGAAUGAACAUGCAUAUAAAAGCAAAAAAUUGAAUUAAAACGAGCUAGAAAGAACACCAGCAAGAGGCAAGGUACCGAGACUAGAUGCAGCCCACCUGUUUGGAGAGCCGUGUGUACAAACAGUGGACCUAAGAAGCUACCACCAAUACCAAUCGCAAUGACAUCUUUCAGUGGUUUGCCAGUGGCUCCUACCUGUCAAUUAGUGCAAAAAAACUCAACAGAAGGAGAUAACAACGCUAAGAGGUAGGUUUUCAAAUGGCAUCUAGAAUUUACCCAUGAACCAGAGCGAAUUUUCUCAGAAAAUUCCUUGAUCUUAUCUAGAACGUUCCACACUUCUGGAACCACAUUCUUUCCAUCAGCCUUGAUAACUGCAUCCUUUGGAGCACGGAGCGCAACAUGAAGAACUGACCUGUUCUCCGUACUGUUAAUCUAAGGAAGUCAUUCAGAAAGUCAUGCAAAAAAAAAACAAUUCAGACACCUAAGAAUGGAGAUGAGAAAAUUGUCUACUGGAGAAAAUAGAAAAUAAAUCUCUAGCAAUUCAUUUAUGUUCUCUAAUAAGUAAUACUACAUAAAGAGUUUCAUAAGAUCAAAUCAAAGUGAGAUUUAACAGCUAUUCCCGUAGCGCGAUAGGAAGUCCAGGAUACUUACAUGCUCCCCGUUGAACAUGCGGCUGAUCUUCUCAGUCAACUGUGCAGCCUGCAUAUGGAAACAACUGAGUGAAUUACAUUACCGUUCUACGAAGUCUGCCAAUAAAACAUUUGCCCUCACCUUUGCCAAGUUCAAAAGCUUAUCCAUUGUCUCUACAGUUGCACGCUGUCGAGAAUAAUCCAACAGCAACCCAUCAAAUUCCCUAAUUAAAAGCAUACAUACCAACAGAGCAAGGACUUAAUAACAGAACUCGUGAAUGCACAAUAACAAGUUUAAUACCAGAGCAACAGAAACUCGUGAAUGCACAAUAACUAUGAAUAAACUUAAAAUCAAACUUUGAUGCUAGGACACAAAACAAAAACAUCCACCUUCUCUAUAUAAGCCAUAAAAAUCAUCUUAAAUCGUUUAAGAAACACGAGAAAACACCAAACAUUUAACAUUGCAUGUCAAUCAACAGAGUUCAACAUCAAACAUAAUAUAGAUAGCACCCAUACAUCAUCAUGGACUGGCAUCUAUUAGCAUCACUCAUCAAAUCACGCAAAUGAGUCUUCUUAAUAUCUUCAACAUGUCCCUGCCAAAAUCCCAAAACAAUCCCAAAUCACUUCUCUACACAAACCACCAUUGACAAACUAAGCACAGAGAAAUCCUUCAAGACUACUUACCUUCAAAUCCUUCCACGCUUCGGUAUCACUAGUCAAAGCGGUUGAUGACGCCAUUACUGGUAAUCAAUCAUCAACAACAACAACAAAAAAAAGUCAAAUCUAAAACCAGUUUCGUUCAUUUUUCAGCUGUGAUAAUAAACAAAAGUUCGGAUUCACAGUGAGUCGUCGUUCAUCGAAACCUUAUCAACGAUUCAACGGAACAAAAAGCUUUGAUUUGGUAUUGGAAUUGCGAUUAAAUCGCGAGAAGGGAAAAAAAAAACCUGAAGAUCUUCGAAGAUGAGGUGAAGAAGAAGAUUCUGGAAUUGUGAGAAGAAGAAAGCUAUUGAGAGAGAGGAAAAGAAAAAAAGCGAUAGGGAAGUGUGAGAGCUGAGGGUAUGACACGUGUUGACGGAAGGUUCCAAAUACUGCACAGAAGGAGGAUUAUUUCAGGUCUAUGAGCAUCGAGACAUCAAUCUCAAUCAAUUUCCGGAAACUUAACACUAAACUGGGUAAAAGAGAAGAAAAAAUGUAUUGAUCAUAAAUUUGAAAUCAAACUUGGUAAACAUGCUAAUCACUCAGAAAGCUCGAGAUUGAAUCUGGCAUCUAAUCAAAAAUGCAUUAAAACAGGUCCACACAAACUAAGAGGGUCUAGAUUAGUAAGUUCAGAAUCGAUUCAACUUUUUCUCUUUUUGAUGGAAAGUAAGUUUCUAUUGAAUGUGAAGAGAUCGGCAGCACCUCAAUCAUGAAUUCGUAAAACCCUAAGCCAGAAAUGAAGAGAGAGGUGCUAAUUACCAAAUAUGAAACAAAAGACAGAGGUGCCGAAACUUAAAUUGAUACAAUGGAGACUGAAAUUAAAAGAGGAAUAGAGUGAAUAACAACAGAGAGAGAGAGAGAGAGAGAGAGAGAGAUAACAUUCGAAUGAUCAAACGAUACAAUCGAACAAGCAGCAGACGCAUAGAGAGAUACAUAUAAUGGAGAAACACGACGGUGAGAAAAUAAUAGAUAAGAAGAAUACAAGCGUGUCUUACCUUACGACCGGAGGAGAAGCAAUGAGUGAUGACGGCGGAGGGAAGAUUUGAAUCUGGCGGGGGAUAACGGCGACGGCGGCGGCAGAAACAGACCAAGAGAGAGAGAGAGGAGCGGAUAAGAGAGAGAGAAAGAAGGGCUUAUUUUUGGGAUUUCUUUUUAAUAAUACUAGGAAAUGGACAAGUGGUAUUUUAAAAUAAUGAACAUUAAAAUAAUGAACAUUAGUAAUUCCUUUUUUUUUUUUUAUCACUGAAAAGGGAUAUAUAUUGAUAUGUCAAAAGAGGAGGGACCUUUACAAAAACCUCAUCACGGUUUUAUGAGAGGUACCAUUAAGUACCAACCACCAAAAAUUUACGACAAAGAUUGGAAAAGGAAAAAGACUGCAGUUAGAGAAAGGUUCUCUCAACCUCAAAGAACCGAGAAAGCCAAGAAGGAGGACCUACAGCAACAUACGACUGAAAUCGAUCUUCUUUGACAACACUUUGAGCAAUUAGAGAAGCUCUCCUGUUCGCAACUAUCUUUUCCACCAUAACAUUCCAUUCUCCAAUCUUUUCCAAAAAAUGAGUUAACUCAGAAACUUGAUAAGCAAAAGAAGGCCAAGCAGAUGGCCUGGCAAAAGCAGACAUUAAGUCCCUAGUCUCAAAAACAAACAGAACCUUGGAUUUCCUGUGACUGAACAUGCUUUCAAUAGCCCACUUGACACAAUGCAACAUGACAUCUUUUUUUUCGCACAAGUUAUUGAAAGCCUUUCUGCUAUGCAACAAAACCUCUCCACGAUCAUUGCAUAAAACCCAAGCACCUCCACAUAACCUUUUUUCCCAGACCAGGCAGCCCCGAUGUUGCAUUUUACCCAACCAGAAGUAGGCGGAUCCCAUCGAUGCAUUCCUGGAUCAUUAAAUCUGUUCAAAACAGGAUCAACAUUCUGAAUAUGAGAUUGAGCCAAAAACCAUUCUUGAGUGUCUUAUUUAAUCUUCUCAAUGGAUUUUAGAGGGCAGAAAGAGAGGCCAUCAAAAAACAACUUGUUUCUGUUUUUCCAUAGUCUCCAGAGAACCCAAGGCCAUGAUCUUUUUACCUGCUCAGGGACUUGUGAGUUCAGCUUAAGCUCAAAGAGAAAUUGGAUAUUGGCAAAGAUUGAGCCAUUUUGAAAUCCAUUCUACGGAGUAGGGACACCAGACAAAGCCCAAACUUGACGAGCUAGGGAACAAGUAAAAAGGACAUGGUUUAUAGACUCACCUUCAGCACCACAAACCUGACAGCGAGGGUCAAUAUCAAUACCUCUCCUAAUAAUCUGAUCAGCAACAGGAAGAGCUGAACAAAAAAUUCUCUAGAUGAAGAGUUUUAUUUUUGGAGCAGUUUUAGAAGACCACACCUUUUCUUUAAGACCAUUGGUUGAGGGCAGUUGACUGACAUCUCUAAUUAGAUCAGGCUUAUUAGAUUGAAAGGCUAACCAAUAACCCGAUUUAACAGAGUACUCCCUAGAUUUUGAGUGGAACCAGACCCAGAAAUCAUUUGAACUCACCACUGGUUUCCUUAUAGUAAUUAUCUCCACGUCAACAGGGUAAAACAGAUCCUCCAGCAUAUCUCUCUUCCAAUCUCUUCUUUCCAAAUCAAUGAGAUGCUUUACCAUGAGAUUCAGAUUGACAGUGAAGUGCUUUUGAAGAGGUAGCCGUGGAGCAUUGUCAUGAAGCCAAGGAUCCAUCCAAACAUUAAGGGAUCUGUCGUUACCAACUUCUUUCCUUAGGCCUUUCAUUACCAACUCUCUACCAUGCAAAAUACUCCUCCAAGCGUAUGAAGGUCUGACUCCUAUCUCAGCCUCAAGGAAAUCCUCAUCCUCAAAAUAUCUACUCUUGAAGAAUCUUGUAGCCAAACAAGAAGGAUUUUGAAGGAGUCUCCAGGCUUGCUUAGCCAACAAUGCCUGGUUAAAACUUUGAAUGUCUCUAAAGCCCAGCCUACCUUGCUCUUUAGAGAGACAUAUUUUCUCCCAACUGACCCAAUGUGUCUUCCUCUUAUGUUCCAACGCGUUCCACCAAAAAUCUGCCAUCGCACUUGUCAAGUUUUCACAAGUCGUCUUUGUCAAUUUGAAACAGGACAUAACAUACACGAGCAUGGCCAUCGCCACAGCUUUGAGUAAGAUCUCCUUUCCACCCAUGGAUAAGGUUCUAGCAAACUAGCUAGACAACCUAGCUUUAAGUUUAUCCUUGAUAUAGUCUAAAAGCUGAAUUUUAGAUCCACUAAAACACUCAGGGAGACCUAAAUAGGUUCCAGCUCCACCUUCAUUUAGAUCCAAAUAGGUUUUUGAUCCAAUCUUUGUUAUCCUCCUCAACCAAAGCUCCAAAAGUAAUGGAUGACUUAUCAUAGUUUAUACGCUGCCCUGUAGCAUCACCAUACUCCUUGAAGAUAUUCUUGAUCACUGAGACUUCAUUUCUGUCAGCUUUGCACAUGAAUAAAGAGUCAUCAGCAAAUAAAAGAUGAUGAAUAGUAGGCCCUUCAGGAGAGAAACUGAUUCCAUUGAUAAGACUAUUUCUCUCAGCUCUCUUCAUGAGAUGAGUGAGACCCUCAGAGCACAAGACAAACAAGAAAGGAGACAGAGGAUCACCUUGCCUCAAUCCUCUUGAAGGAAUGAUGUUACCAUAUGCCUUAUCAUUGACCAAAACAGAGAAAGAUACAGAAGUAAUCGUGAACAUUAUCCACUGUAUCCAUUUCAGAUGAAAUCCCAAUGCUUCCAUCAAGGCUCUAACGUAGUUCCAUUCCACUUGGUCAAAACCUUUUGACAUGUCAGAUUUUUUGGCAAUGAAGUCCUUAGACACUUGUCUAUGAGUACGCAGGCCGUGUACCACCUCAUGAGCAAUAAGUAUGUUAUCAGAUAUCAACCUAUCGGCCACAAAUGCAGAUUGGUUAGGGGAUACAAGGUCAGACAGAAAUGGUUGUAGUCUCCUUACCAGAAUCUUUGAGAUAAUCUUGUAAAGCACUGUACAAAGGCUGAUUGGUCUUAAAUCUGACAUGUUUACAGGUUUCUUCUUUUUUGGCAGCAAACACAACUGUUUAAAGUUCCAUUCUUUUGGGAAGGAUCCAGUGAGGAAGAAUUGCUGGAUCUCAAAAGUGACUUGCCUUUCCAAUAUACACCAAUAUUUCUGAAAGAAAAAACCUGUGAAUCCGUCAGCACCAGGAGCACUAGAACUCUUGAUUGCAAAAACAGCUUCUCUUAUUUCUCUCUUUGAGACAGCGGCAGUGAGCACAACAUUCAUACCCUCCGUGACUCUAGGCUGAAAAUCCUCAAAAAGAUCAUGGAAGUUACUCUGAUUAGUGGAAGUGAAAAGGUUCUUGAAAUAAGCCUCUAUAAUAGCUCCCUUAGUCACUUCAUCUUUGUGGAGAUUGCCAUUGACAUCACAAAGUUGUUCUAUAUGCUGCUUUCCUCUGUUGUCUUUGACAAAAGCAUGGAAAAAUUCUGAAUUUUUGUCCCCACUUAAUAUCCAUUUAGCUCUGCUCUUUUGACUCCAGUAGAUUUCUUCAUCCUGAUUGGCCUUGCACAGAUCAUUUUUCAACGAGUUCAUCAAAACAAAAUUAGGGAAAGCAGAAGAAUGUUCAGCUUCCAGAGCUACCCUAGCUUGAGUGAUCCGAGAUAAAGAGUUGAAAUUGUUUUCUUACUUCCAUCUACUAAGAGCAGUUCUGCAUUUCUUCAGUUUAUCCAAAACCAGCAGAUUUCCAAUCCUUUGAUUACCAUUCCAGGCUUGACAAAUGGUUUCUUUAACAUUAGGCUGAUUGAAGAGCCUUUUAUCAAACCUGAAAUUACCUCUGUAGUCCUCCUUUGAAGUUGCAAGUCUGACCAAAACCGGUCUAUGAUCUGAUCCUCUUUUAUCCAGGAAGUCUUGGUUAGACACAGGCAAUUGUCUAUACCAAUUCUUGUUGCCAAAACAUCUGUCAAGCUUGCUUUGAAUCCAUAGAGUACCUCUCUUUCCACCCCAAGUGAAUGAGUUGCCUUUGCUUGGAAGUUCUUGCAUAUCACAGUUUUCUAGCAUGUCCUUGAAUGGUAAAAAGGAGGAGUCACCUCUCCUUGGACCUCCCAGUUUUUCCCCAUUAUGAAGAAUGGCAUUAAAAUCACCUAACAUACACUAGGGCUCCUUCCUAUUCAAACCAAUCCUUGAGAGUCUUUCCCAAACCAGUGGUCUAGAACUAUAAGCCGGAUCUCCAUAAACACAGGAGACAAAGAAGUCAACUGAACCAAAUUGAAUGUGGAAAUCAAUUAGGUUCUUAUCCGCAUAAUUGAUAUCUAUAUUUACACCUUUCUUCCACAAAAGAGCCAACCCUCCACUGAGACCAAUCGGAUUGACUGUAAAAACUCUUUCAUACCCUAACCAUUCUUGCAGGUCUACUACUACAUUACUGCAGUUCUUGGUUUCCAUCAAAAAUAUAACCUCAGGGAAAUGAGCACGUCUCAUCUCCAUGAGUCUAGGAAUCGUCAAUUCAUGAGACCGUCCUAAUCCUUGAUAAUUCUAGCUAAUUAGACUCAUUAAACAGUGGACGGUCCCUCAUUUGGGACCACCACUUUAGGGUUAAGCUUGAUUAUUUUUGUAGUGCUUUGACCCUUGUCAACUGCCUUUCUCUUCUCCUUUGUACCAGUUUCGGAUCCUGCCACAAGUCUUUGAUCCAAGGAGCUGUUGAGCAAAUCUCUUGGCUUAGACUUUCUUACAUACUUGGAUGGCCUAUUUCUUUGCUUCACUUUUUUCUGAGUAGUCCCGGAAGAGCCAGCCUCAAAGAGACCAGGUCUAUAAACCGUUGAACUAUUAGUAAAAAGUUGAGAAAGAGCAAGAAAAUUGCCAUCUCCACUGAUAGAUGAAGGGUUCACCGGUUCCAUAAGCCAAUCUCUGACUUCUCUCUGUUUCCUUAUUGUCCCCAGAUCUGAAGAAGCAUUUGGGGUACUCCUGGCACUUCUAGAUGAAGAUUCUUCUUGAUCAUAUCCAAAGACUACUCAUUUUUCUCUGGAUAAAUCAUGAUGAACAAUUGGUAAAGACUCUAGCCUGAGAACAGACUUCUGUGUGAAGGGAUUUUUUUCAGCCUCACUCACAGAUUGAAUCACUCUGUCAACCCUAAUGGAUCUUUCUUCAUCAUUUGCCACUCUGAGAUAUUAGCGCAUACCUUCCAAAACCACCUGAGCAAUUCUUGGUCUGCCUGUAUUUGGAUCCAAUCCAACCUGACUCUCUUUAAGCACUCCAAAAAGAGGAUCUGUUUCUUUUAAGACCGGAGGGGGAGAAGGUUUGUUGAUUGGAGUACCUUUUCUUCUAGCAGCAGCUUGAUCUUGUCGGGCUUUAACCAAAAUGGGACACACAUCCUUCUCAUGUGUGAGCCUUUGACAUUCAUAACAUCUCUUUUGUAUCCUUUCAUAAUGAAACUUCACUGUGGCAGUCUCACCAUUUUUCAGAUUAACAAUCUUGGAUCUCCUAAGAGGCCGCGAUACGUCAAAGAGGACUUUCACCCUGACAAAUUCCUGAACCUGUGGAAGAUCCGGGUCGAAAACAACUUCUUUAACCUCACCGAUGAGGUCACUCAAAGCAGUUAUCGCUUUGACAGUGUAAUAGUUAACCGGAAUAUUCCAAAUCUGGACCUAAAGAAACAUGUACCGUAGGUAAUCUUCCGGAGGAUUCUCGUACCAUAUGUCUACUACGAUAGUCUAUUCGUUGAAAGUGUGGACUCCUUUAGCCAGAACAUCUUCAAGAUCGUGCUUGGAAUCGAAGAUAAACUGGAACUUUUCAUUAGUUAGAGCUACUCCUUUCACUCUUCCUUCUUUCUGCCAUUUCCUUGGCAAGUUUCUUAUCAAGUGUUUCAUCUGUUGACAGUCAGGGUUUAAAACCCUCCCAAUAAGGCUGAGCUUAUUCCUUUCACAGGACAAGAAAUCCAGAAAAUCAGGCAUAUCGAAAGGCUCAUCCUUUUCCUCUAGGGACAUCUCCAUCAAGGCUCUAUCCAUGGCAGACGACAUAUCUGAGUAAACUUGUAAGCUUCUACAAACACCAAUUUCUACAAACACCAACUUCUUCUGCAGACUCAGAAGCUCCGAAACCAAAUUCUGAUUACUGCUAACCCGAACCCAGAAACUCUGAAAACCAACUCUUCCACAAACCUAGAAGCUCUGAAACCAAACUCUGAUGACUUCUAUCCCGAGCCCAGAACCCCUGAAACCAAACUCUUCACAAACCCAGAAGCUUACGAACAAUCACGGACGCUAACCUCUGAAACCAAACUUCUUUCACAAUCCCAGAACCUCUGAAAUCACUACUACGCAAACCCAGAAAAUCAGAAACCACACUUCUUCGAAAACUAACUUUUGCAAACGCUUGUUACACGAACUUCUCUGGAGACAAGACUCUCUGAAACACAGAAAUUUCUCAGAACCAAGACCCAGAUUUCGCAAACCCAGAACACGGAGCACCAACUUCUUCGGUCACGAACCUUUCUGAACCCAAACUUCUUCGAAAACUAACCUUUCAGAACACUACUUUCACCGACCAAGAGGAAGCUCAGAUCGAACCGUCUCCAACUAGAGAAAAUCAAAAUCGGAGAAAAGAGUUAACCGUCGGAAUCGAUGAAACGAGGCUGAGAAGGAGCAAAAACCUUGAUUGAAACAGUAAAUAACGGCUGAGGGAAAAUGAAUUUCCAGUCUAAAGCUCUAUUCAACCCUAAUGAAAGACACUUGGAGAGAAAGAGGGUUCUGAGCCUAAAAGAGGGAAACUUUUUGAUGGCACCAAAACAGAUGAUACUUCUUUUUUUUGAAAGAUUAGUAUUAGUAGUAGUAAUUCCUUCUACAAAAUAUUUUUUUUACUAAUGUCAUAUUUUUCACUAACUUGCUAUGCUGUAUAUAAUAUAUAAUAAUUUAUAAACAAAAAAUUUCAUUUCAGUUAAUUAAAAAAAUAAAAUAUUUUCAGUUUUGUUUCAUAUAAAACACUUAAGUUUUUAGUAUUUUUGUUUUAAUAUUAUGUUGUACCACAAAAAAGUAUUAUUGUUUUUUGAGUUUUAACAUGACUUGAUAUGCUAAAGAACAUUUCUCGUCACAUAUGGAAUUUUAUUUAGGUUUGAUUAUAGAUAUUUAAUCCAACUGAAUUUUAUUUUCUCUCACAUAAAUCCAAAUUUAAAAAACGUUGGCAUUUUUGUUUCUCUAUCGUAACUACAAGACAUUUAAUCGAUUGAUAGCAAGAGAAAUAAGCUUCAACGGACUUAACAAAUUGUUGUCUUUAGGAAUGCAAUAUAUAUAUAUAUAUAUUCCAUUAUGGAUAGAGAAGGAUUUGCAAUACAAAAGAUGCAUACAUGUAAAGAAAACUAUAAAGUUAUACAAUUAGAGGCACAAAUAGUUAUAUUUGGUGAUAAAGAAAAAGAACCCAUCUACUAACAGAAAACAGUAAUACAAGCAGCUGUGGUAAAAUUUGUUUGUAAGCUUAGGGAAUGAAGUUAGAAAAUAGAGUAAAAGAUAUAUAUAUAUAUAUAUAUAUAUAUACAGCCAAAAAAUUCAAAAUCAAAGAUAUUACAAAAUAGAGAGAUGUUGAAGACAACGUAAAAAUUCAAAAUCAAAGAUAUUACAAAAUAGAGAGAUGUUGAAGACAACGUAAUUCAGUAGCAAAUUUUUAUGUACAUCAGCGUUUUUAGCACACAAUUUUCGCAACCCAAUUUUGCGUGGUUAAACAUAAGCAAAAUCGGAUAUCCUUAUCAUCUCUCUCGCUAAGAAAAGAAGUAAGAACUAUAGAAGAUGGGAUUGUUCUCCCACAAGAUUUCCAGAGAUGAUCUGAAACCAGGCGAUCAUUUCUCCUAAUGUCACGAACUCACGUUGUUUGUUCUCUAUACUUAACCAUCGCAACAUCAUUACUUUGAUCAUCGACAAACCAACUUUUUAAAAAAAUCUGAUAAAGUUCAACCUUUUCAGUUUACAACUAUAACUAAAAGAGAAAUUGGAAAUAUCACUAAGAGAUAUGACUUAUAGCAUCUCAUAUUCUACUAAAAUUUAAAUCUCUAUAUAAAAGUGAAGAAUACCUUAAAUACAAGACCAAAGAGUGUGCACGAUAGCAAUGUCAAAGAUGUGGCUUCUCAAAUCAGGGAAAAUCACUAAACAACGACCAGCGACUAGAUUAGAGGAGCCCAAAAAUGGAGAACUUAAUUAAAGUAUAAUAAUUUGUUUUGUGGAGAACUUGAUAAAACAAAGAGAGAUAAGAGAUAGAGAUAGAACAGAGUUAUGAAACUUAUAUAGUAAUUUACUCGACAGCUUUACAUUUACACAAGACUAACACUUGUAUAGUAAUUUACAUGAACAAACGUGACUGUUGGUAAUGUUCGUAUGACUGUUCGUAAUGUACGUAACUGGUCAUAACUACCCAUUUGGUAAGUUGCGACUAACACACAAAAAUCUUCAUUUUACAUACACAUAAGAGAUACUCUGAAUUUGUGAAUCAGCAUUCAGCAAUGAUUAUGUAAAAAAAAAAAGUUAUUAGAGAAAAAGGAAAAUUUCAAUAAGAAAUUGAAGGGUUAAGUGAGAACCAUCGUGGUUGUCGUAUAAUUGUCAACAACAUUGAAAUUUUAUCAUAACUAACAAUCAAUCAAUCCAAGUUUUUUUGGAACACUGGUAAGAUAUAUCUCCGGAGAUACUCAAUGAUUUAGACAACGAUGGUUAGAAAAAUCAGAAAAGUAUCAAUAACACCUCACAAAUAAAUCGAACCAAAAACAGAUCCGUUAAUAAUAAGAUUCUUGAUAACAAAUGACAGUAUGUUUAAGACUCUUCUCAAUUCAAGGUCAGUGCUCAUCUUCUUAAUUAAAAUCCGCUAAAGGUAUAGGCGUAUAGCAUGUAACAGACAAGAAUCCUACAGGUACACCAUCAGCUUCAAGUGUACAACAAGCUACUUCAUUUUUUGCAUAAAGGCCAAAGAAGAUUUAAGAAUCUGUCUAUUUGUAUAAUGCUUUGAUGUCAAAGAGAGAAGUAUUGAUGUUAAUAUGGGCUAAUCCAGCCCAUUUAGACCCACCCCAUUUAAAACAUAUCCCAUUUAAGUUUACACUCCAUUUAUCCUCCCUAUUUAAACCAAUUUAAAUUUUCUUUACCCAUUUAAACCCAUUUAGACCCAUAUAACAUUGUUUUGUUCUAAACAAUAUAAUAUAAUCAAUAAUUAUUUUAAUUGAUUAUUUAAAAUUUACAUAUUAUUUCAUUAAAUAUAAUUGAUAAAUAAUGAUAUAACUUUUUUUAUUAUUUUGUUGAAGAAUAAUAUAGUUUAAAAAAAACGAAAUUUUGCGGUUUUGGCUGAAAAACCACGGAUUUACGAUUUUGGCGGGAAAACGUCAUUUUAUAGUAUGAUAUUUUUGGUGAUAAAACGCAAUUUUACGAUUUUGGCGGGAAAAUGCGGGUUUACGGUUUUGGCGGGAAAAUGCCAUUUUCCGCAAAAAUUGCAAAUCCGCGUUUUUCCGCCAAAACCGUAAACCUGCGUUUUCCCGCCAAAACCGUAAACUCACGUUUUUCCGCCAAAACCAUAAAUUCACAUUUUCCCGCAAAAAUCACAAAAUUGCGUUUUAUCACCAAAAAUUAUUUUCCCAUAAAAUAGCAUUUUCCACCAAAACCUUAAAUCCAUUUUUUUCCGCCAAAACCGUAAACCCGCGUUUUUCCGCCAACACCGUAAACCCGCGUUUUCCCGCCAAAACCGUAAACCCGCGUUUUCCGCCAAAACCGUAAACUCGCAAUUUCCCGCCAAAAUCGCAAAUCCGCGUUUUUCCGCCAAAACCGUAAACCCGAGUUUUCCCGCCAAAACCGUAAACUCGCGUUUUUCCGCCUAAACCAUAAAUUCACAUUUUCCCGCCAAAAUCGCAAAUCCGCGUUUUCCCGCCAAAACCGUAAAUCUGCGUUUUCUCGCGAAAACGGCAAACCCGUGUUUUUCCCGCCAAAACCGUAAACCCGCGUUUUCCGCCAAAACCGUAAACUUACGUUUUUCCGCCAAAAUCGCAAAUCCGUGUUUUUCCGCCAAAACCAUAAACCUGCGUUUUCCCGCCAAAACCAUAAACUCGCAUUUUUCCGCCAAAACCAUAAAUUCACAUUUUUCCUCCAAAAUCGCAAAUCCGCGUUUUACCGCCAAAACCGUAAAUCUGCAUUUUCCCGCCAAAACCGCAAACCCGUGUUUUUUCCCGCCAAAACCGUAAACCCACGUUUUUCCGCCAAAACUGUAAACUUGCGUUUUUCUGGCAAAACCGUAAACCCGUGUUUUCCCGCCAUAAUCGCAUAACCAUGUUAUAGGAAACGUGGUUUUACGUUUUCUUUUAAAUAUUUAAAUUAAUAAUUAAAUUUAAGUAGAAUAUUAGUUUUAAAUAUAUUUAAUAUUUUGCUCUUUUAUAUUAGUUAUUGAAAUAUUAACAUUUUUAAUAAAAAUAACUAAUAUAAAAUAAAACAUAAAUGGGCUUAAAUGAGUACCCAUUUAUUUUUGGGAAACCUCAUUUAAUAAAUGAGUUUAAUUGGGAUAACCCAUUUAACACAUUUAACAUUUUUCUCUAAAUAGGUUUAAAUGGGCUAAUUUUUUUUGUACAUACCCAUUUAUUAAAUUAUUAAAUGGGAGUUUCAUGCCCAAUUAACAUCACUAGAGAGAAGACACUAAUCAAAAUCAUUCACUAACAAUAACAUAAAACGCUGAGAAUACGUAAAUCUGAUCAACGAAUUUACUAAGCUUAAAUAUACGUAAAUCUGAUAAAGAGUUGCGGGAUGAGUGAACGGAUGUUUAUAAAUGGGGGAUUCUCUGUUAUAAUGUGAAAACAAAUGUGAUUCAAUAAAUUGGAAAAAAACCAAAUAGGAAAUUAAACUGUUGAGAGGUGUGACGAUGAUAACGUUUCUUCUUCCUAUCAGUUUCAGCGCCGUCGUGAUGCUGGCUACCACCACCGUCACCGCCGCUUCCAUUACCACUUCCGCCGACGACUGCAACUUAUGUUUUACCGUCAAACAGUAAAACAGUCUUUAAUCGCUAUGUGGCUAACAACUACUUCUCUUUACUUUCACCCAACCACAAACUACUAAUGGACCAUUACACGGUUACACCACUGCACCAAUUUAUUUUACCCAAAUUUCAUGUUUGUGUAAAUGCAUUCAUAUGAAGAUAUAAUGAACUACUUUUCUAACGCAUUACUCUGAGAAAAAGAUUUGAAGAAGAAUUUCAUAGCUUACAUCGAGUAGUGAAUAAGUAUUGGACAUUGCAUCCUUCAGUUUACCAACCUGCAUGAUAAAAAGUGACAUCCUAUUAUAAGAAGUUGCUCUCGGACACGGUGUAAAUAAAUUUCAAUGGUUCCUGAAGAAUCUAUGUAUAUAGCAAACUCUAGGAUUGGAAAAAUGUGUAGUGGCAACAACAUUACCUUGGUACUAAGAUAUGUCGUUGUUAUUGGGUAAGAUGACCAAAAAUGUCUCAGUAAUUCUUGUAUUGAUGUCCAGUGCUGCAUAAGAAAGAAAAAGCAAAAGGUAUUGAUGCAUUUGAGGGGACAACAGAAUCCAUCGGCAUUAUUAACCAAAUCACAGUAAUCAGUAUAUAUUGAGCUGCUUGUUACUUAGGACACUGGAGGAUGUCUGUAUAACUUCAUCCUUAGUGGACUUUGGUAAUCUGUCCAGAAAGCUCUCUCGCGGGUUCUUCCCAACAAUAUUUUUGGCAGUUGAGAUAGUUCGGGUCAACGAACUGAAAACCUGGAUAGGGUUUAGCAAUAUUAAGCUCAGGGAACAAAGCAAUAAGCCAUGGUUUCUUUAGGCAGCAUGCAUUUUAUAUUGAGAUAGAAUAGCACCUCAAAGGAAACUUCAGGUUUAAUCAAAGGAUCACUUAAUCCCGUCAUUCUAUUCUCCAAAAUGGAUUCUUUUAGUAAUCCAUAAGCUUCAUGGACAUUUCUCUUUGACGCCUUUGCUCCUCUGGGUUCACUGAGGAUGUUUCCUUGUUGAGAUUCAAAGUAAUCACGAGGGUCUUGAUUCCAAACAAGAGAAGGUAAGAGGAUUUACGCACCAUCUAUCAUCAUCGACAGUGUAAGCCUUUUAAUCACAGAAAGCCAAACCUUGAUAGAGAGUGGUGCUAAUGGGAAGUUUUGUGGUGCUUGAAGAUCCUCCAUUUCUGUUGCAAGGGACAUUCUCUCCAACCUCUCCUGAUUAGCGUCCUUGGUGAUUUCACCAUCAGCUUUGCUUACUACCAGGGGUAAUAGACAUGUGGAUACCUAGGUUAGAUGAAUAUGAAUUGCAGAAUUGGCCAUUGAUCAGCAUAGAAAAAGAAAAAGAAAAGUAGAGCAUAUCAGAAUGAAACAGCAAACCUUGUUUCGCCCGUGUGAGAGCCUCUGCAACAAUUCUCGUACCUUCAGACUCAACAUCUACUUUCCAGUAUAAAAGAAUAAGUGAGUAUCAUUGUAUACUAACUUUACCACCAAGAACUAAAAGCAGAGGGCCAAAAUACAUGGUUAUCCCUCAUGAACUAUCUGUUGGGAAGUCAUUUGAUGGCUAUUUCUUAGACUGCUAUACAAAACACUAGAUGAAACAAUCAGAGUUAUAAGUGUUUACCGAUGCAUCUUCCUUCCAAUACAACAGCAGCAUGACGAUUAAGAUCUUGUAAAAGUGACCUCCUAAGCUGGUCGUUCAGUGGUUCAACAACGUCAUUGGUGCCAUAGCGCUGGAUCCCAUGGUCCUGUGUGACAGGAAAUUUAACUAAGCACAAUAUAUGAAGAUAUGAUCCAGCAGAAUGUAAAUAAGCUUUCAACCAUGUAGAAAGAGCACAAUGUAUUAAGAUCACCAUUUUCUAGAUAUAUUUUUGGCUUUAGAAAUUGAAUUCCAGGUGGUGCUUUAUCUCCCACGAGGACCAUUUUCUAGAUAUUAGUGUAAGCUAAUGGAGCUUACUGAUGAAAUCACGGCAAGCAUGCAUGUUGGGAUCAUUUUCAAACUCAAAGAUAUGACGCCUUCCUGUAAUCAAAGUCGAGGAAACUUCAAUGAUACACGGAUUAUAGCUUCAAAAUUCACAUAACAAGACUUUUGUAAGAAAAAAACCUUCUUUGGUAUAUUUCUGACCUGAUAAAUUUAACAUGGCACAAUGGAAAUUACAGGCAACACAUCGUCUACUAUCCAAUAAUCAUUCUGAGAAAAUUAGUCGUGAUGAAACUGAUUAACAAAUAUGACCAAUUUGGGAAAUCAAACCCUUUUACUUUUGAUGUUGUGAGUCUGAACCAUAAGCUUCAAAUCUGAUACCAAAGAGUUCAAAGUAUUCUUACUAUUUUGAGGGAUCUAAGAGUUGUUGGAUCAUUCACAGACCUCUUAUAUUUGACUUGCUUCUCCAUUGAUAUAUGCCCAAGGUUCCAAAAGCGCGUUAAAAUUGGUCGAUCAAUUAAGCUCGUGAGUCACUUUGACUGUGUCAGCAAGAAGACAGAACCAGAACCAUGUAUCCCUGUUUCUUUCGUAAAGAAGCUUCCUUGUAAUUCAAUGAAACGCAUCGUUCAGGAUCAUAAUUAACUCCAAAGAAGAAUACACUGUUUGUUCUUCCCCAAAUCAGUUACAAAAAUUGUAACCUAAAAUUCGAUCUUAACCCAUAGUAAAGGAAAGAGUCAAAAGUUCUAUUCAAAGAAAGAACAAAAGGAAAGAGUUUAAAGAAAGAGUAAUUCAAAGUAGGGUUGUUAGAGGGGUUAGAGGUGUGGUUGAUGUCAGAUCAAUCAUGUAAGAACAUCGACAUUGCAACUUCUCAGGUUUCUUGGGCAAUGGGAGAAGAUGAUAGCAUAGUUCACAUCUGAUGGAGGGAGCUUCGGCUAUCUGACUUUUGGGUCUGUUUCCUAGAUAUUUGCGCAAGUACUUCUCUCGUAUGUGCAAAUUCCCUUCUUCCCUAAGUGGACCCCUUCCCGACGCUAGAUCUCCCCACUCCCAAAUAAUUUUUGACGUAAUCUUUAACAUUAGAUUAGAGCUUCGUAUAAUCUGGGCAAGCAUAACGUUGUGGCCGCGUGUUCUUAAAUGGUCAACUAUGUCUUGAUAGUCACCGUCUCCUGCCACUAGUAAAAUGUUGGCUGGAUCUGGAGUAUCCAAAGCCCAUAUAGCCAUCCUUAAGACAAGUUUGGUGUCUGUAGCAUUCAAUUUAUCAGAAACACAAAAACAUAUUGAUUAAUUUUCUUUCAAGAUAAAUAUUUUUUCAAAACUUAAUAAAUUUACCUGAGAAAACCUGAGUUACUCUAAUGCCAGAGGAUCGCAGUUGUUGUGUAACAAAGUCUAGUAGGGGCUUGCCGACGGCUUCGAUUGUUACUGGGCCCAAAAACUUUGCCGAGGCCAGGCCCUUGGAAAUAUUACGAGCAAUAUGUGUCGGUUUGACAAGUUUGGGGAUUUGCCAAUUAUCAGUACCCAAAAUCACAAGAGUUUUGGCGAGGACAUAGCGAUUUUCAACUUCCACCUUUAAAAUUAAAAAAUGCAAGUUUAUAAAUUUAAAAACUAAUUCUCUUUUAUUUUCUCAAUGUUUUAUUAGAAAUCCUUAUAUAUAUAUUAAAAGUUUAUAUAUAUAUAUAUAUAUUUAUUAUAAGCUUAUAAAUAUUAAUAUCAAUAUUAAUAUUAGGUAUAUAAAAUAUUAAUAUUCCUGGAUUGAAACCAAAUAUAUACCUAAUUAAAAUAUAAAUACUUCUGUGAAGAAGUUGUAAGAAAUUUUCUACGUCUUUAUUAGGGGAUUAAAGGCCUAUCUGGACAUUUUCUGGUGUUGGACCGCCAAUUAUACCAUCAAAUAAUUGCCGUGUUUGAUAAGCCAGAUACGGAAAGGUGGCUGAAAAGUAAACAACCAAAAUACUUAGCUUGAUAAAAGUUAACAGAAAUUUACUUUUUCAAUACCACUCUUUUAUAAAUGGCGAGUAUUACUAAUAAAGCAUUGAGAAGAUAAAAGAUAAUUAGUUUUCAGAUUUACAAAUUUCUGUAUUGUUUUUUUGUCAACCACACAUUCAUUAAAAUUUCUGUAUUUUUUAAAUUUCUGUUUUUAAUUUUAAAGGCGGAAGAGGAAGAUCUCUAUGUGUGUACCAAAAAAAUGUUGUGUUUUUGGAUACCAACAAUUGCGAUAUCCCAAAACUUGUCCGUCCAAAAGUUGCAUUGAAUUUUUGUAAAGUUCUUGCCAAAAAAUUCACAAAUUUGGAGAUAAGAUUAAUAAAACGAAGAGUGAGUGAGAAGUGUGUGUGUGUGUACAGAUUCCUAAGGAGAAGGCAAAAGCGGGAUCGGUGGGGGAGAGUGAGAGGAGAAGAGAAGCGGCGGAGGAGAGAAGAAUGGUGUCUCGACGAGAGAUGAUAAUGCGCGGCGGGUGGUCGGAGGUUUGUGCGGCGGCGAUUAGUGGUGGUUGAGAAAUUGGGAUAAGACGAGCCAUGGCUUAACAUAAACUAUCUAAGAUAGGAACAAAUUCUCAGGGGCUCCUCCAGCUCCCAAACUUUUCUCAAUUGCUCCUCUUAUAAAAUAUAAUUUAGUUUUGAUUUUCUUAAAUUCGAAAAAGUAGACAUUUGACCACUUAACCCUUCAAAAUAUAAUAUCACAUAUUUACAACCCAACCAAGCUAAUUGGGUUAAAAAUACCCAAACCCUUUCUUACUGGGUCGAUUCCAAUUUAAACGGGUAAAACAGUUCAUUCUUUGGAGAAAAAUCCUACGACGGCAACAUUAGUUUAUCCCUUUCGUGUCUCUUCUAUUUCUUCAGAGUCGAUCUUGGUAUAACUACAGACAACUACGUUAUUGGACAAGGUAAAAUCGAGUUUUUAUUUUGGGUUUUGCGAUUAAAAUCGAGUGAAAGUCCGCGAGUAUUGAAAUUGAUUGUUCGUUAUGUUUGUUUAGAGUCCGAAGAGAUGGAGAAUGUUAGUGGUAGUUGAAUCGAUUGAAAUAUUGAAUGGAAGUGCUAAUGUAAAUGAUUUUGUUUGUAGGUUUAUGGAAGGGAGUUAUGCCUCGAACAAAGAACGCAAAUGUAUCUUUAACUCCGCCAGAAGCCAAUCUUGAAGAAGUACCACCGCCGGCGGUAGUGGAAUCUGAAGCAAUAGAUUCAAUCUCUAAUGGGGUUGCAACGGUAAGAUCUAUAAAAUUUGGACAACUCGUAGAACUAGGUAUAAGUUUGUUGCUUUUGUCUCUUAGAAAUUUCUGAAACUAAAAAGUAAAACUAUGAAUAACUAGGUAUAACUAACGUGUUUUUAUAACUUAUAAAUAUUUGAAACUAAAAGAUAAAACUAUGAAUAACUAGGUAUAACUAUGCUGCUUUUGCUUUUAUAACUUAGAAAUAAAUGAAACUAAAAGGUAAAACUAUAAAUAACUUGGUAUAACUAUUCUGUUUUUCUAACUUCGAAGUUUUAAAACUAAAAGGUACAACUUUGUAUAACUUGGUCCAACUUGAUCUUGAUUGUAGGAUUCUAAUGAGGAAACCGAAACUCUACAACCUCUUAAAAUGUACUUCAAUCCGAGUGAGUAUACAAAGUCAUUCAAGAUUUCAACAAAGUGCUAUAUUCAUAAGGGAGUGAGCUUAUUGGAGACUCAUCUUAAAGGCAAGGAGUUGAAAUGGUUCAGAGAACACCCAUUGUUCCGACACUUCUUCCACAUGCACAGGGACGCAAAUCAUAAGUUGAUGGGUAUGUUGUUGUUAUUUCUUUGCACAACAUGUUUAGAGAAGAAGAGGGAAGUUUGGUUUAUCGUCAAUGGGGUUCCGAUCCGCUAUUCUCUCAAAGAAUUUGCACUCGUGUUAGGAUUAUAUUGUCACCAAUUUCCGAAUUCCUGUGAAACCAAGGGAUGUAUGGAGUUUGUUGGCAGGAUAUUUGGACCCAGAGCAACAAUAAAAUAUCAAGAUGUGGAGACAAAGUUACUAUCAUUGAAGAAACCUUUUGAUGAUCGUCUGAGAGUAGUUGUGCUCUACUUCUUAAGCAACUUCAUCGUUAAAAUUUAUUUGGUUGUUAUUUUAUUUUGGUAUAACUCCGUCGGUUUUAAAAAACUAGGUACAACUAUGUGAUCAUAAAUGGUUAUUGUUUUAUUUUGGUAUUAUUUUGUAAAACUAGGUACAAUUGUGUGAAUGACAACUAUGUACAAAUGCUUUAUUUUUGUUAAACUAGGUAAAACUAUGUACGUUUGUUCAUCUUGGUAUGGUAAAGGGGCUGAAAUGAUAUUUGGGAAAAAAGUUUGAGGGAAAUUAAAAGGGUGAAAAGAAAAAAAAAUUGGGUUAUUUCGAAAAUUUUGAAUAUUUUGUAGGGAAAUUCGAAUAAAUAAAAAAACUGGAUAUUUGUGGCAAAUAACACGUGAUCCACAUGGCGCCGUCAUUUUUACAGUCAAGGCUCCGUCAUUUGUACACGUGGCGCCGUCAUUUGUACACAUGACGCAGUCAAAUAUACACAGUUUUUCCAAGUUUACAAGUUGUACUCGCAAACACACAGUUGUAUUUUUGGGGUUUUACUUUAUAAUUAGUAUUCUUUGAAAAAUAUUAAUUUUUAUUAGUUGUCCACAAGAUUUUAUGUAUAUGAGGUAAAUUCCAAACAUAUUCAUUCAAUAAUAUGUGUAAAAUGUUAAAUUUUCAGACUUUUGACAUUCACCAUGGAGAUUCAAAAGAAAGACAUCUUAGAAGUAUAAGGACUUUCAUGUAGAGAACUAAAAUGUGUAAAGAUUUUUGUAAAUUUUAUUUAACAAAUUUUGAUUACAAACCACUAAUUUGAUUAUGUAACACUAAGUUGUCUAUUUCUUUAUAAAAAGAAUUAUGAUAUAAUUUUGAAUUUAUGAAGAUUUGUUAAUUUCUUCGUAGUUAUACCGAACCUAGUUUAACCAAGUUUUACAAAACCAGAGAAUACACAAAAACACGAAAUCAGAGACAUAUAUAGUUGUACCAUUACGAAACCAAGUUUAACCAAGUUUUACAAAAACCAGAGAAUACAUAUUCAGAUUUGCUCAUGUCUCAACUAAAUAUUGCACUUCAUGCUUGCUUUCAAAUUCUUGACCUAUUACUAGAUCAAGACCAUCUUCGCAUGGAUCUUUAAAUUUAGAAACUUGGCUAGCACGUGGAAUCUCAACAUAUUCACCAAUACCAUCAUUCUCCAUACUCAUAUCGACAGUGUUAUCAACACCAUUUUCCACAUAUCUGAUAACAAUAUUUUCUAGUGGCUCCAAAGGCUCCGAAAGUUGUUCUGCUAGUGGCUUGUCUGCGUAAAGAGCUACGACAUCAACAUUAGCUCUAUCAUUAUCUUCUCCAUUGAUGAUGUCCUAAACGAUAGACCGUACAAGCCAGCUAUCCUUGGAUUCCAUUGAUAAGUAUCUCCGGUUUUUGAAUAAUAUCCAUCAUAAUCAAAAUGUAUGUUUAUUGGAAGGUUGCUCAUUCUCCUGAAAAAAAAAAAAUACAUUAACAGUUAUACCAAAAUUACCAGUUAUACCAAAAUUACCAGUUAUACCACUUCUAACAGUAAUCUCAAAAAUACCAGAUUUACUACUUCAAAUAGUUAUACCACGUUUCUCAGUUAUACCCAGGUUUUCUCAAAAAUACCAGAUAUACUACUUCAAAUAGUUAUACCACGUUUCUGAGUUAUACCCAUAUUUUCUCAAAAAUACCAGAUAAACUAUUUCAAACAGUUAUACCACUUUUUUCUGUUAUACCCAGGUUUACAUCUAGGAAGCACGGAAGCUUCGUCGAAGGUCCGCUUCCCGCUUCGGAAUCUUAUUCGGAAUCGGAAGCUCUUGGAAGCUUUUGGAAUCUCGCUUCCAUAGCGCUUCCAAAAAAUUCACUUUAGAAGCUCGUUGGAAGCUUACGAUUCCAUUUUGGAAGCUUACGAUUCCAUUUUGGAAGCUUGCGUGUCACAUAUUAAUUAGAAACAUGAAAUUAUUUUUUAUAGUAUUUUUUACAAUUAAAAGAAACCAAAACUAAUUUUGCAAUUAAAAGUUUUGCAUACUAAUUUUUGUAUAUUUUUUUUUAAAAGAUCGUGCUUAACAAAAUAGCCACGACAUAUAUUAUUUAUUUGGAAAAUGUUGGAAUGAUUAAUUGAAUUAAAUAAACUUUGAGAAACUUGAAUUUGAUGAUGUGUUAUCGAUAAAAUGGAAUUUGAAACCAUUUUAUUGGAUGAAAUUAAGAAAAUGAGAGUGAAGAUAGUGAUCUUAAAUUUUGACUUUGAACUAUUUUAUUUUUAUUUAUUGUAAAAAUAAAUUAUUUGGUUUUUCUGUAGUUGAAGUAUUUAAAAUUUAUGUGGUUAAUAUAAUGCUUAAUGUUUUAUUAUAUAUAUAUAUAUAUAUUAAUUUCUAUAUACGCUUCCAACACGUACCCACUUUCUAAAAUUUCUAAAAAAAUCGCUUCCGCGUUUCCAAACGCUUCGCUUCCGCGUACCCGCUUCUGAUUUCAUGCAACCUAGGUUUACAUGUUCUACUCUAUUUGCAAAUCGUUUCUCGGACCAAAAACACUAAUCUACCUACAAUUAACAACGAAUCAACCACUACAGUCCAUUAAAGUGUCUUAAUCGACCUAGGAUACAUAGUUACCAACACAAUGUCCAUUAUUUACCAACACCAAUUGAAAACCCUAUCAAAUCUAAUAGAAAUCAUCAAAUUUCAAAUACAAUACCAAAAACCACUAAAGACUCGAUGUUAGAAGUGGAAGAAGAGAAUAGGAACUGACCUAGAGGUGAAGAACGAUGACGAUGUGGUGGAAGAACGACGACGAGGUGAAGACGAUGACGAUGUGGUGGUUUUGAAUUUUUGAUUGGAUUUGUCCCGAUGAAUACAUGAGCUUGUUUGUGAUUGGUCGGAAAUCUCUUUGUUUUGAUUGGUCGAAAAUCUCUCUCUUUUGAUUGGUCUGUUUAGUAAGGGCAAUCAUGGGUUUUAAACUUUCAUUAAGAGUGUAAGAGUAUGACAGAAUUUUGGAGAGUAGAUAGAUUAGGAGGUCAUGCUUGAGGAGCUCCAGAGAUUAGUCUCCUAAGAUAUGUGUGUACCCGCCCAUGUGGUAUUUAUAGGAAAUGUUAAAAUUGGUUUAAUUAAUUGUGAGGAUUAAGUUGUCGAAAACGACUUAUAUUGUGAAACAAAAAAAUUUAUCCAAAAUGACUUAGAUUAUGAAACAGAGGGAGUAAUAAAAUUUAAAACUAAAAUCUAAAAUCCAAAAACUAAAAACCAAAUCCAAAAUCUAAAUAAAAAAAACAGCAUCCACUCAUGGCCAAAGUGAAUAAAAUGAGAUCUUUGGGCAGGCAAAUGAUUUCUUAACCAGCAGGAAGUUCGGCAGUUAUAUAGUUUCUUAGGAAUGGACAGAGCUUAAAAGAUUACAAAUGAGGAAAUCACAUGAAUUACAUUAAUCCUUUUAGACAGAAACAUCAUAACAUUUCAAAUACUUAUAAUUUAUUCGUUUUUACAUUUUUUGGUAAAGAAUGAGAUAAAAUUCGAUUAAUCCAAUGAAUGAAAGAGUGUAGUGACUGUUGCAGGCACACUCGAGCAAAGCAAUAAAGAAAAAUUUGGAUUUUAAGUUGAUGGAAAAGUUUGUUUAGAAACCCAUUAAUUAACUUCUACUAAAUUGCAUAACUACCCCGUUUAUUCUUUGUGUUUUAAGUUGGAUUGCACAUUUGAGUACACGAGUCGGGUUCAGGUCGUUUAAAAUUUUCAAAACCUAUAAAUACCCGAAAUUUUUACCCAAUUAUCCGAAAUUUUACCCGAUAAUCGAAAAUCUUACAUAAUUGUCCAAUAUAAGUAAAACUUCUAUGUGUGUAAGCAUAUGUAAUUUCAAGUACUUGGAUAAUAUCCGGGUCCGAUAUGAUAUCCACGGACACGGUAUUACUACAUAAGACCCGAUAAGGUAAAUUGAUUAUAACCCGACUCAAACCGGAUUUUUUGGGUCGGUUCCGGUUUUGGUUUUCGGUUGCGGUUUUUUGCCCAGGUCUAUUUUAGUCUUUCAAUAGUCUUAGGAAUUCUUGUGGAAAACCAAAUCUUACUUCAAUUGCUUUUGUGGAAUUGUUGAGAAAUUGAUUGAUGAGUAGUGAUAGCAGUCUCACUACUAGGUCUGGGCAUAAUACCCGAAUCCGAAGAACCGAACCGAACCGAAUCCGAUCCGAACCCGAACCCGAAGUUUUAAAAUAUCCGAACGGGUUCUAAACUUCACAACCCGAAAACCCGAACCCGAACUCGAACCCGAACAAGUACCCGAUUAUACCCAAAAUAUAAGUACAUAGUUAUAAUAUAUUAGUAAUAUUUAUACUUGUAAUAACUUAAGUGCCUAAAUUAUUCGGAUGUUAAGAUAUUUUCGGGUUUUUUAGCUACUUUGGGUUAUAUUCGGGUUAAAAUACUUGGGUUUUAUAGAUUUUUUGAGUAUUUUUCAAUACUUUGCAUAGAUUCGGAUACAAAAAUUUUAAUAUUUGGAUACUUCGGGUAAACCCGAAUCCAAACCCGAAAUACCCGAUCCAAACCCGACCCGAACCCGAAGUUUUAAAAUACCCGAACGGGUCUUAGUUUUCUAAACCCGAAAAACCCGACCCGAAUAUCCGAACGCCUAGGCCUACCCAAAUCCAUUCACGUGACCAAGUUAAUUUCCGGUUUAGUAAUUAACCAACAAUCUAAUAACCCAAACAUUGAACAGAGCUAUCGUCUUCUUCAACUUAAACCAUAACUCAAUUCUACGUGACUUACUACAACAUUUGACGUCACAGUUCACGUACUCAUGAGUCAAGUUUCGGUUAUGGACUUUGAUUUCACAAGAGAAUUUUGGUUUGGAUCGGUUUAGGCUUUGGCUCAAUAAUCCAACAACACACAAACAACACAACAGACACGAGAUAAGGUUUUGACCUAUUACCUUUCUCGCGCUUUCUCAACGGAUCUCCUCUACGAUCUGCUUAACGGCUCGAACGGCGAAGUGGCACAGAUCUACGAUGGUCCAAGCCACUAGUUAGAUUGGUCCAACAAUCUAAAACAAAAAUAGAGAAUCAAAUCCAAAAUUGUCUCACGGGUGAUACCUCUUUGGUGAAGACUAUCCACACGGUGGCUCUUCUUGAACACCACGACAAUCUUCGGUGGCUCGAGUGGGACUGCGGUGCCUCACAAACAAGAUUUGAGUUAGGGCUGUAUUGAAUUCUCAUCAUCAGAGAAUCAAGAUUGAAGAAGAAGAGAGCUUAACGAACGUUUAACAAACUUCAUUAUUAUAAAAUGUUGUUACAAAGCUUAAACUAAAACUAAUGAUGAGAAUAAGCUUAACCAGAGUUAAACCAAGAAUACAUUAAACCAAGAUGUAGUUAACCAGAGUUAACCAUUCAAUAACCGGUCCAUAUAUCAUCUGUAAUACGCCCCUCUCAAGUCUUUAUCUUCGAACUUGUUUGGUUUGGAAGGUAAACACUUGACAAUGACAUUUGUUGAAGCAAAUGAUGAAAAAAACCAGGAUGCAGAGCUUUAGUCAAAAUAUCUGCAUGUUGAUUCUCUGUAGGAACGUGCAACGCCUUUAAGUUGCCAGCUUUAAUCUGAUCUCUCACAAUGUGACAAUCUAUUUUUAUAUGCUUUGUGCGUUCGUGAAAGACCGGAUUCAUAGAAAUGUGCAACGCUGAUUUAUUGUCACAAAACAGUUUUGUAGGGCAACUCACUGUGAUAUGAAGAUCCUUGAGCAACUGUUGAAGCCAAAUGAUUUCACAAGUGGCUUGAGCCAUACUCCUAUACUCUGACUCAGUGCUACUCCGACUAGCAACAGCUUGUUUCUUUGAUUUCCAAGAGAUCAAGGAAGAACCAAUGUAUACACAGUACCCUGAAACUGAUCUCCUAGUAUCUUUACAUGCAGCCGAGUCAGCAUCCGAGAAAGCAUUCAAACAGAGUUCUGAGUCAACUGAAUACAUCAGUCCUUGUCCUGGAUUUGAUUUUAUAUACCUGAGUACCUUAUGUGCAGCUUGGAGAUGUAUAUCAGAUGGAGCAGAAAUGAACUGACUCAACUGAUGAACUACAAAUGUAAUAUCUGGCCUUGUGAUUGUAAGAUACAAUAACCUUCCAAUAAGCUCACGGUAAGAAGUAGGAUUUGGUAAUGGUACUCCCAUGUCUUUAGUCAGAUGUAAAGAAGGAUCCAUAGGUAUUGAGCUUGGUUUACAACCAAGUAAGCCUGCAUCUUCUAGCAAGUUCUAAGCAUACUUCCUCUGACAUACUGAUAUUCCUUUUGAAGAUCUUGAGAUUUCCAAUCCUAAGAAGAAUCUUGCAGGUCCUAAAUCCUUUAUUUUGAAUUCAGACCUUAACAAUGCCUUUAAUUGAUCCACUGCUUCAUCAUUGUCACUUGCAAUCAUAAGAUCAUCCACAUAAACCAAGACAACAACAAAUGAACCAGUAGUAGCUUUGACAAAAGAGUAUUGUCAGCAGGAGACUGUAUAUAGUUUGCACCUAGUAACACUGAAGACAAUCUCUUGUACCACUGGCGAGAAGCCUGUUUCAAUCCAUAAAGAGAUUUUUUUUUUUUUUUGAAUCUUAUGUUAUAUUAUAUUCAAAAGAAAAAAUAUUCGUUUGUACAACUAGUGCAACAUUUCGCUGAAAAUAAAUCAAAAAUAUAAUUUAGAACUGAAUUGCUAAAACAGUCUUCUUAAGUUCGGGAGUUGAUCCAAGCUUGGUAGGCUUCAUCGUAUCUCCUAUCUCCUAGUAGACGAAUUGCCGAAAUCUGAUUCCUUAUUUGCUUAUCAAUCCACCCCGUAGUCUGUUCCGCCGUUUGUGGGUUUUCGCCAUGUUUUCUUCCAUUCCUUUCUCUCCAGAUCGUGUAAACCACCACUGAAGCACAUAUUUGAUGAGAAAACCCUCCACUCUCUCAAGUUGAUUUUCCGAAACAUACUCAACUAGAAGAGACCAGUUUGUUGUGUAUCGUGCCUUUAGAAUUCCCUUAGCCAAAGCUUCCCAAAUCAAAGAGCUGUAAUGACAAUCAAAGAAAAGGUGAUCACGAGUCUCCAAGUUGUUCUGACAAAAACCACAUGUGCCCGCUGCUCCACCCUUCCAUUUACUAACGCGAUCUCCCGUAGGUAAUCUGUUUUGAACAACCAACCACAUGCAGAAAGAAUCCAUAAAGAGAUUUCAGUAGUCUACAAACGGGAUUAGGAGGCAAACCAGUGUUCUGUGGUGGAGUAUAUCCUUGAGGUAAACUCAUAAAAAUUUCUUCAUCCAAUUCACCAUGGAGAAAUGCAUUUGAGACGUCCAUUUGAGUUAAACUCCAACCCUUUAUAGCAGCAAGACCAAGCAAAAACUUCACACUUGUUAAUUUAGCAACAGGAGAAAAAAAUAUCUAGGAAAUCAAUUCCUUCUUGUUGAGUAAAUCCCUGUGCUACCAAGCGUGCUUUAUAUCUCUCCACUGUUCCAUCAGGAUUGUAUUUGAUUGUGAACACCCACUUACAACCCACCACAUUCUUGCCUGGAGGUAAUGAUUCAACAACCCAUGUCUUGUUAAGUUCAAGAGCAUGUAACUCUUCAUUAGCUGCCUUUGUCCAUUUCUCAGACUUCAUGGCCUGUUUGAAUGUUUUUGGCUCUGUCUCUAUAUCAUAAGCACAUAUAUAAGACUGAAAAAGAGGUGUAUAUUUGUCCUAAGAAAUGACAGAAGCAAUGGGAUAUGGUGUAGUCUUUUUAGGUGAUGAUGAAACAGGACAUGGUGUAGGCUUUUCACGUGAUGGAAGAAGAGGAUAUUGUGUAGGCUUUUUAAGUGAUGAAAUAACCGGUUCUGUUGGUGGUAAUGAAGAAAUAAACAGAACAAGAGAGCAAUGAUACUCAGACAGAUAACUAGGAGCUCUAGUAGUGCGUUUAGACCUAGCCACAUGUACAGAAUUAAGACCAGUAUCAUGCGUCUCUGUGUUACUAGUAGAAGAUAUGGUACUAGGAUUUAUUGCAGAUGAUGAUGCAGUAGUAUCAACAAGAGAAUCCUCAUCUAAUAAUGGCAUUGUCUCAACAAAAUGUAUGGUGCAGGAAGAGGUAAAAUAGAAUUUGGAAACUUGUCUACUGCUUUAUGCAACAAAUCACUAGUUUUAAAAGGAAAAGUUUGUUCUUGAAAAACCACAUUUCUAGAGAUUGAAACAGAAUGAGUUUCUAAGUCUAACACCUUAUAGCCUUUAAAACCUGCAGGAUAUCCUAGGAAAACAGAAGGUCUGGCUCUAGGUGAAAAUUUAGUUCUUUCAUUUUGAUGAGUGGAAACAUAACACAAACAACCAAAGUUCUUUAAAAGCGAGUAAUCUGGUAAUUUUCCAAGUAAAAUUUCAUAAGGAGACUUAUUUUGAAGCAAUGGUGAUGGUAAACGAUUAAUCGAAACUGCUGUAAACACACAAUCACUCCAAUAUUGAAGAGGGACAUUAGACGAAAAAAGUAAAGAUCUAGCAACAUUGAGAAGAUGCUGAUGCUUUCUCUCAACAACAGAGUUCUGUUGAGGAGUAUAAGCACAAGAAAAAUAAUGCAUCAUGCCAUGUUCUUUAACUAAUUCAGUGAAAGCAAGUUCAGGUGCAUUGUCAGAUCUAAUCGCUUUUAUUUUUGCAUUAAACUGAGUAGAAACAAGUUUAAUAAAAACAGGAAAAACUGUUGAAACAUUCUUUUUAUUUCUUAGCAUAUAAAUCCAGGUGGUUCUUGUACAAUCAUCUACCAAAGUAAGAAAGUAUUUAAAACCCUCACCAGAUUCAACACUAAAAGGACCCUAUAUAUCCAAAUGAACAAGAUCAAAUGGUUUUGGAGCUAAAUUGUUAUGAGAAAUAUAAGCUAAUCUUUUCUGUUUUGCUAAAGGACAUAUAGAACAUGCAGAAUUUUCUGAAUCUAAAGACUUUAGAGAAGGAAUAACAGUAACAAGCUUCUGUAAAACAAUAGAUGAUGGAUGGCCUAAUCUUUGAUGCCAAAGCUUUCCAUCUAUGACAGAUCCAAAGAAAGAACAAGCAGGUGUUGAUGGAGAGAGGGAAGUAUUCUCUGUUUCAAGAAUGUAUAAGUUGUGAUAUAGUCUACCCCUCCUAAUCAUCAAGCCCUGAGAAUGUUCCUGAAUCAAACAACAAUCAAUAUAAAAAUGAGCAGAACAAGAUAUUGUUUUAACCAAUGAACUCACACUAAUCAAAUUGAAUUUAAAAUCCGGUACAUGCAAAAUAUUAUGCAAAAUAAGUGUUUUAGUAAUGCAAACAGUGCCUGUAUGUGUAAUGGAGACCCUAGUACCAUUUGGAAGAGUAACAGUAACACCUGAGACUGAUUUUAAUUCCCUAAACAUGGCUAGAUUUGAACAUACAUGACUAGAAGCUCCACUAUCUAUAAUCCAAGCAUUAGGAGGUAAAAAUUUUUGUAAAGAAGAAAGAAUGUGAUUCUGAAAAGUGAGAUUAUUAUUUUGAAAUUUUAGACUGGUAGAAGGAAAUAGAAAUUCAGUAACAAAAGUUGAUUUAUGAGCCAUCAAACCAUGUUCUGAGAUAGUUGCAGUAGGACUAGGUGUGCUUGAAGAAGUUACAGGCUCUGAAACUUGAACUUGAGUUUGAAAUUGCGAAACCAUUUGUUCUAUUUGCUUCGGACUAAAAUUCUGAAGACUUUGACUAUGUCCACCUUGUAUAACCUGCGGUGCAUAUUGAGGAACCAAAGUACCAUAAGAACCAUUCAUUGGCAUAGGCAUUUGCAUAUAUCCUUAUGUUGGAUAAGUUCCAUUCUCAGUAUACACAUGAGCCACUGCAUUUGCCUUUUGCAUUGAAUUAGUAUAAGGCAUCAUCUGCAUCUGAGAUUGUGAUUGCAUCCUAGGCUGAAUUUGCAUCAUUUUCAUCCGAGGUUGUAAAGGAGGAUUACCUCUGUAAGUAUAUCCUAUAGCCCAUGCCUUAUAACCAGGUGGAUAUCCUAGAAUCUUGAAAUACUUUUGAACUGUAUGUCCUACUUUCCCACAGUGAGAACACACCGGCUUAUGUGAUGGUCUAACAGUAUUAUAAGCAGCAAUAUAUGCAUUCUCGGCAUCAUUCAUAAUAGGAGAGGAACUCUGAAAAGCAACAUUAUCAACUCUAGUAGGUGGUUUAACACUCUUCUGUCUCUCAUCCUGAGUAACAAUGUUGAAUGCUUCUUCUAUAGUAGAAAUAGGCUUUAACAUCAGUAUAUGACGCCUAGUCUGAUCAUAACUUUCAUUUAACCCCAUAAGAAACUUAGUUACCCUACUUCUCUGUUGCAUUUUCUCCCAUUUAGCAGCUGCAUCACACUCACAACGACAACAUAUACACACAGGAAGCUCUACAUAAUUCUUGUGUUCUUCCCACAAAGUAAGCAAAGCUGUAUAAUAAGUGGAUACAUCCAUAGCUCCUUGUUCAAUCUUACUUAUCUUCUGUUCAAUAUCAAAUAUUCUAGGAGCAUCAUCUUGCUUAAAACGAGUUAACAAAUUGUUCCAAAUUCCUUCUGCGGUUGCUAUAAAAAGCAAACUCUGACCAAUCUUUUUAUCAACAGAAUUCAUCAACCAUGUAGAAACAAUAUCAUUGCAACGUGACCAAGCACCAUAAUCACGAUGAUCAAUCGGAGGUUUAACAAUCAUACCAUUGAUAAAUCCCAGCUUAUUGCGAACAUUCAAAGCCAUCAAAACUGAACGACGCCAAGAUGGAAAAUCAGAAGAAUUGGAUAAACGAUCGGAAACAAGAACAAGACCUGUGUGAUCGGCACUAUGUAGAUAAUAAGGAUUAUCAUACUGAUCGGCUGGAUAACGCGGUUGUUCAUUAGCAUUUAACGGCGGACGAGUCACCGGAAUCGGCGGUGGAGGAACAUAAGAUCCCAUUCUCAGUUUAAGAACAGGAAAUUACAAAGAAAAUUGUGACGAAUUGAGUAAAGAAAGCAAGAAUCGUCAACACUGGAGGUCAACGAAAGAGAAAUCAAAGAAAACAGAAUUAGAAAAUCAAAAUUCCGGUGAAACAAAAGCAAGAAAUCGCAAAUUACGAACAAUCAAAAGAAUCUAAGCACAAAUCGGAAAGCUCAUCUCCGGCGAACAAACGAUUGCGGAAGAAGACGAUUAUGCUCUGAUACCAUAUUGAAUUCUCAUCAUCAGAGAAUCAAGAUUGAAGAAGAAGAGAGCUUAACGAACGUUUAACAAACUUCAUUAUUAUAAAAUGUUGUUACAAAGCUUAAACUGAAACUAAUGAUGAGAAUAAGCUUAUAUAGUAAUACAUUAAACCAAGAUGUAGUUAACCAGAGUUAACCAUUCAAUAACCGGUCCAUAUAUCAUCUGUAAUAGGCUGAGCCAACGUCACAUAAAAAUAGAGACUCGAGUCAAGGUUGCGAGACAUACCGUGAUUGACGGCUUAGGGUAUUCGUGACUCGUCUCAGAGUUUGUGUUCUCUUUUAAUAUCCACGUGGGAACAAUAGGUUUCACUUGGGUUUAAAUCAUUAUAAUGAUUUGGGCCUCGUAGUUUAAUUGCGAAAUCGGGUGUGAUUAAAAUAAAAUAAUAUCUCGUCGCCAUCGUGUCGUUUAAGUGGGCGAAUAUAAAUGGUUGACUAAUUUUGUUAAGUCAAUGUAGUUUUACGCUCAAAUUUAGUAGUCGGGGUAGUUUAUUUAAAUUAGGAAAAUUGUUAAAAAUACUCCUUUUGGUGUACCCCUUUUUAAAAAUGCCCCUUUUAGAUAUCCAUUUUAAAAAAUGUCCCUUUUUAAAUCUGAAAUUUUUAUAAAGUUUUAUUAGGUUUAUAAGGUACUUAUGGAUUGUAACUACUACUUGAAGACUCGAUCCAAGUAUUUAUAAGGUUUUAUAAGGUGUUUUUAAAGGUUUUACAAGUUAUUUUAAAGGAUUUUAAGGUUUUUCAAAGGUUUUACAAGAUAUUUUAAAGGUUUUUAAAGGUAUUUAAAAUGCAUUUAUAAGGUAUUUAUAAAGUAUUUAUAAGAUUUUAGAUACAUAGAAAUGUAGUUUGUGUAUGUUUUAAUAAUAUUACAUACAUAUUUGGGUAAAUCUUAUAUUUUUAAGAGCAUUUUUAUAAGGUUUUUAAAAAAGGGUAUUUUUGAAAAGUGGCAUUGAAAAAGUGGCAUUUUGCAAAAGCCUCUUUAAAUUAUUUUAGCGUUGAAGUGUAAACAGACAUUAUUUCUUUUUGAGGUAUAAAAAUGCACCCUACAAUUUGUUUGGGUUUAAAUAUAAACCUUUUUUACUCCAUGUUUUUGGGAUAAAAAUCAUAUUAGAGUUCUGAUCUCCCAUUUUUUUUUUGUCAUUCGAAAUUACUUAGAGCUCAAAAGAUGAAUGUUGUUUACAUAUGUCAUAUGAAGCGGUUCUGUACGAACUUUUAAUCUCCCAUUUUUUGUUUUGAAGAAUUUAGAUGUGAAACAUGAGUAUAAUCCAGAGGCAUCUUCCAACUGAAAUGACAAAAGAAAAUUGAUAAUGAAUAUGAGUUUAGGAGAAAUGAAUGAAUAGAAUAUUUGUUAAGUUUUUACCUGAAGAGAUUAAUCGUAGAUUUCUAUCGCGAUGGAGAGGAAAAAACAAAUAUGAAGAGGAAAGCAGAUAAAAAUCGAAUAGAGAGGAAACUGAAUCAUUGGAGUUAUUUAGAAGAUGAAUUAGUUACAAAUCAGCUUGACCGUGGAGGUGUUGGUGGGAGCAAAACUAGUGAUUAGAUUCUUUUUACAGUUGUCUCAGAAUUUUCUAGAACGAUAUAUGAGAAAAAAAAAAGAAUUAUGCAAAAAAACAAUUAGGUAUAGGUUUAUAUCCAAAACUAGGCCUGGGCGUUUGGGUAUUCGGUUCGGUUCUAGAACCGAACCAUUCGGUUCCAAAUAUUUUGGUUCUGAGAUUUAGGAACCAUAUUGGAACCAAAUCAAUAUCGGUUCGGUUCUGGUUCGGUUCCUAUUCGGUUCGGUUCGGUUCGGGUAAUAAAUUUUGGAACCGAAUAGGAACCUGUUUCAGAUAUAUUUGGAACCGAAAAAACAAUAGAAUUAUAAUGCAAAAUUCAAAUGCAAUUAUGCAAGUAUGCAAUGCAACAUCACAUAUUAGUCAUCAUACCAUUACAAAUUCAGAAAAUAGUUGAAACUUGGAAAGUAUUAAGUCAAAAGACACCCAAAGUUUCAAAAAUACCACAAAACACAAGUUUUAAAGACACCAAAAGAAGCUUUGUCUUUGAUUUGCAAUGAUUCGAAAGAGAGAGUUGUUGUCUGCGGCGUCUCCUUCUUUGAGAAAGAGAGAACAAACUAGGGUUUCUCUUUAGGUUUCAGAGAAAUAUAUAAGAGGCUAAGAGAGAUAUAUGGUUGGUUGUUAGGCUUGGGUAGCUAGGUUUAUGUCUAGAUGGGUUUGAAACUUUGAGUUAUAUAAAUAUAGGUUAAUGUGCUAUAUUUUUUGGGUACCCGAAUGGAUAUCGGUUCUUACCCGAACCGAACCGAUACCCAUGGUUCUUUGAUUUAAGAUCCAAUCGAUAUCUUCACUAGAACCGGAACCGAACCGUACCCAUCAAUUUUGGUUCGGUUCGGUUCGGUUCUACGUGGAUCCAUAUUUGUGCCCAUGCCUAUCCAAAACUAUGGGCUUACAAUUCUCUGAUGGGCUUACACAAACACAUUUUUCUUUAACAUUAAGAAGCCUUAUUUUGUUUUGUAACAAUUAGUUUUGUUUUUAAUUUUUUUCCUUUUCUUUUGCAUGAUCUUAAUUAAAUUAUGACAUAGAAAUCUAUGUGGCACGUUUUUAUUGGUCAGGUGACUUGUUCUUUACAAUAUAAAGGAUAUACACACAUAUAUAAAUAAAACUUGAAACGCCCUUUAACCACACCAUAAUUGGUGUAAACUAAAAUAUGUGCGGUAUUAAGAUAAAACAGAACAAACAAAAAGAAAUUGCUAAGUGCGAUCUAAUAAUUGAAAUAAUACACCGUAUUUAACUUAAAUGGUAAAUAAAUAGUACCGCAUAUAAAACGCUAAAACGGGUCGUACAUUCACACACUUAGGCUACGAAUGGGAACAUUGGAUUAGACGGUGUCGGUCAAGCGGAUCUAAUAGUGCGGUACGGUUUAAGUGUGGUUUGUAAAGAAGAAACGCAGUAUGCGGAACAUAUGCGGUUAAUGCAGAAUAAAUGGUGUGGAUAAUUUAUGAAUGGUAAAAACAACAUGCGAUUCCGUACAAUUGUUUAAAUGGUAAGAAGUAUAACAAGUGGUUCGAAGUAUAUGUUUUAAAUAAAUAUAUUAUAAGAAAAAAUAUAUAAGUAUAAAUAUAAAUCAAAUAUUAAUUUGUUGUUUAAUUAAUGAUCAGAAAUUUUACAUAUAUUUUUUAGGGUGAUUUGGCGCAGAAACAAAAUUAUGGGCAACAAAAUUAGGAAUUCGACAUUGGUAGGAUUGGUCGGGGACGAAGAAAUAACGAAAAUACCACAUCAUCUCCGCUACAUGCGCAUGGGCAAGUUGAUCGUGCCGUUUCAGUAAGCCAAAGAACAACCCGCAAAACAAUAAAUGCAACGACUUAAACUGACAAAGCCGCGUAUACAAAAAGAAUGAAGUGAUUGGCAAUAAAUGCGAGAGCUCUCAACUCGAGCGGAAGAAAAUUUGAAAAUAGCCUGAUAUAACUGGGCGGGAAUAUGAAAAUUUAAAGAGCUACCUUAGAUACAUGAACCACCACCAAUAAAUAGGUGUACUGGGUUGAAGAAAAAACGUAGAGCAACACAAAGAAGUAAAAAAAAAAAAAUUAAAGUGCAUAAGCAAAUGAGGCUGCAUAACAAACGUAGUGGUGAGGUAAGGGUAACACAAUUAGUCUUAUUUUCGUAGCUAAUCUUCAUACCUUAGUAGAAAGUUCCAAAGUUGUGAAAGAGAUUAACCCUUAAUAUUACUCGUUUCUACUGGUGGGGAUGAUGGAGGUGACAUAUACGAGAGAAUCAGCGAUUGUGUGCGGGUCUAACUUGGAUUAUGGAGUAAGGACGAGCAUGGUGUUUGGAGAUUCAAUGUCUCGCAGGAAAGGACUGGCAAGAGCAUCUGGUUCAGAGAAGGCGAUGGUGUUGAAGUGGCUAAAGAGAAGGUCAUUCAAGCAUGGAACAUAGACCAAACAUGUGAGAAGGUGGAGCUAACAUACGAGAUGCCCGAGUGGAUGGACGUAGAUGGUUCAGUUAAACCUGUCCCAAUACACAUAGUCCCGGACGACAACAUGGACAUGUUCCUUGCUAUGUGUGUGGAUAUUCAUGAAAUGAAGCUCUAUGUUGUACCAAUGUCGUUGCAUAUGACAUUAGAGAUCGAUGGGUUCCAAGUAGUACCGAUCAUGAACGAUUUUACUUUCGUGGAAGUAAUGAGCAAGAAGGAUGUAGGGAAACCACGUGGCACUACAAUACUCAUUGUGUAUAAACUUGGCACUCGCAAGAACAACCUCAUUAAAAACCUAAGCUUGGAAAACCACGUGGGACAAAACCAAGCCUAGGGAAAAAGAGUAUUGUCCCAACGAGUUAGGGAGCCUUUCUCAAGGAUGUGUGAGGUCUACAAGACCAAGUUUGCCAUGGAUAAAUUGACAAACUUGGUUACUUGCUGCCUUGGUGAAGAUAUCGGCCAAUUGGUCCGAACUCGUAGUGUAGCAAGGAAGGAUUGUACCGUCUUCGAUCUUCUUUCUUGUCUUGUGGCAGUCCGUCUCUAUGUGCUUGGUCCUCUCGUGGAACACGGGGUUAGUAGCAAUAUGGAUGGCUGCUUGGUUGUCGCAAUGGAAGGUAAUUGGCGUCUUUUGCUCGAUCCCAAAGUCCUUUAGUAGAGCCUUCAGCCAUGUCAAGUCGUUUGUGAGCUUCUUCUUAGCCCUAUACUCCGCUUCAGCACUCGAACAAGACACCACCUUCUGUUUCUUUGUCUUCCAAGUUACAAGAUUGCCACCAAUGAAAGUGUAAAAGCCGGUUGUGGACUGCCUUGUGUUGCGAUCUCCAUUGUAGUCUGCAUCACAGUACCCAACAAUUUCCGUGCUAAAGUUUCUUCCCAUCCAAAUGCCUUUGCCGGGACUUCCUUUGAUAUAUCUCAGAAUUCUCUCCACAAAACUCCAAUGGUACACCGUAGGGGCUUGCAUAUGCUGAGCCACCUGAUUCACGGCAAAAGAGAGAUCAGGCCGAGUAUAUGUCAAAUAUAUGAGCUUACCUACAAGUCUUCUAUACUGUUCCGGGCAAUGAUAUGGAGUAUCAUCCUUCUCCUCCUUUCGAUUGACCUUGCAUCCUUGCUCUAGUGGUGUAUCCACUGGUUUAGCUCCAAGUUUCCCUGUAAGCUUUAGGAGAUCGAGGGCGUAUUUCCUUUGUGAGAGAAACAGUCCCUCCUUGGAUCUACACACCUCAAUCCCUAAGAAAUACUUCAACACACCCAAAUCUUCAAUAUCAAAGGCUGAGUGUAAAGAAGACUUAAUCGCUUGGAUCCCUUCUUUGUUACUUCCCGAGAUAAUCAAGUCAUCAACAUAGACCAAUACCACUACUAUGCCUUGAUUAUCUUGCUUAGUAAGCAAAGUAUGAUCCGAAUGUGACUUCUUGAAGCCAUUAGCCAAUAAGGUGGAGCUUAGCUUGUGAUACCAAGCUCUUGGAGACUGUUUGAGACCAUAGAUUCCUUUCCGAAGCCUUAAGACCUUUCCCGGAGCCACUAUGUCUUCUAAACCCGGAGGAGGUGACAUGUAGACUUCUUCUUCCAACUCCCCCUGAAGGAAAGCAUUCUUGACAUCCAUUUGCCACAACUCCCAAUCCAAAUUAACCGCCAAAGAUAGAACAACCUUCACCGUAUGUUGCUUAGCUACCGGAGCAAAUGUUUCCCUAUAAUCAUCACCAUAUGUUUGUGUGAACCCUCUUGCAACCAGCCUAGCCUUAUAUCUUUUAAUUUCACCAUCACUCUUGUACUUAAUGGUGAAUACCCAUUUUGAGCUAACACACUUCUUUCCUUUUGGUAGCUCUUCUUCAUCCCAUGUAUGGUUCCUUAUCAUAGCUUGUACUUCAUCAUCUACCGCAUUCGUCCACUCCUUUCUUUAUUUAGCUUCUUCAUAGCUUUGUGGGAUAAAUUCCACAUCUAGCUUACUAAUGAAAGCUUAAUGUUCCUCGGGAAGAAGGUCAAUCGAAAAUGUUGCUUGAAUUGGAUGAGCCAUGGCUUGGCAAUUAUAGAGGCACUUCUUCAAUUUUCUCUCUCUUGUACUCCUUCUUGGAUUCUCCCGAGUAUAGAUAGGAUCUCGUGUUACUGGUGGAGCUUGAUAAGUCUCAUCUACUCUUGAUGAUUCAAUAAUGUCACCUUCACUAGAUGGAUCUUUCUCUUCCACUUCUUCACUUAACCUUUCUUCUUUACCACUCUCUUGUUGAUUAUCCAGAGACUCUUGUGGUGUAUUAUCACCGCUUUCUUGGGCUUGAUUGUUACCAUCAUUUGGUGUAGCUUCCUUAUCUUCUUGUGGAGAGCUUACAUUACCCAAAUGUUCUAGAAUAUGCCGAAGACUCUGAGCACGAUCUGAAGUAGAAUUAGGGAGGUCCUUAACGCUUUCCCAGCUCUUCUCUUCAAAGUAGGCCUUGUCUUCCAUAAACUUGACAUCCCUUGAUACAUAAUAUCGAUUGUUGGCUGGAUCGAAGCACUUGUAACCUUUCUGAGUUGUUGAGUAUCCAAUAAAAACACACUUAUUACUCUUGGGUUCUAGUUUGUUCCUCAAGUCACCUGGGACAAACACAAAACAAAGACUUCCAAAGACCCUCAAAUGAUCAAUGUUAGGGAUAGUUUUGUUUAAAAUCUGAAAUGGAGAUUUAUCAUCAAGGAUACGUGUCGGUAUUCGAUUGAUGAGAUAACAUGCUGUCAUCACCGCAUCUCCCCAAAACCGCUUUGGCAUAUGCUUCUGAAAUAACAUAGCUCUUGCCACCUCCAUUAAAUGCCUAUUCUUCCUCUCAGCAACUCCAUUUUGUUGUGGAUUGUAUGGACAGCUAGUUUGGUGAAGGAUUUCGCAUUUCUCCAAGUGUUCUUUGAGCUUGUUGCUUGUAUAUUCACCUCUAUUAUCUGUUCUAAGAAUCUUAAUCUUUGCAUCAAAGUGAUUAGUCACAUAGUUUUGAAAGUUUAUAAACGCAUCAUAAACUCUAUCCUUAGAUGGCAUCAAAGUUACCCAUGUAUACUUAGAUUUCUCAUCUAUAAAAGUGACAAAGUACUUGUGAUUGUCUCUAGAUGCACAAGGUGAAGACCACACAUCAGAAUGCACAUGGUCAAAACAUUUUUCAUAAAUCGCACUAGACUUAGGAAAAACAGCUUUGCAAUGUUUGCCUAAUAUGCAUGCUUCACAANNNNNNNNNNNNNNNNNNNNNNNNNNNNNNNNNNNNNNNNNNNNNNNNNNNNNNNNNNNNNNNNNNNNNNNNNNNNNNNNNNNNNNNNNNNNNNNNNNNNNNNNNNNNNNNNNNNNNNNNNNNNNNNNNNNNNNNNNNNNNNNNNNNNNNNNNNNNNNNNNNNNNNNNNNNNNNNNNNNNNNNNNNNNNNNNNNNNNNNNNNNNNNNNNNNNNNNNNNNNNNNNNNNNNNNNNNNNNNNNNNNNNNNNNNNNNNNNNNNNNNNNNNNNNNNNNNNNNNNNNNNNNNNNNNNNNNNNNNNNNNNNNNNNNNNNNNNNNNNNNNNNNNNNNNNNNNNNNNNNNNNNNNNNNNNNNNNNNNNNNNNNNNNNNNNNNNNNNNNNNNNNNNNNNNNNNNNNNNNNNNNNNNNNNNNNNNNNNNNNNNNNNNNNNNNNNNNNNNNNNNNNNNNNNNNNNNNNNNNNNNNNNNNNNNNNNNNNNNNNNNNNNNNNNNNNNNNNNNNNNNNNNNNNNNNNNNNNNNNNNNNNNNNNNNNNNNNNNNNNNNNNNNNNNNNNNNNNNNNNNNNNNNNNNNNNNNNNNNNNNNNNNNNNNNNNNNNNNNNNNNNNNNNNNNNNNNNNNNNNNNNNNNNNNNNNNNNNNNNNNNNNNNUUACUUGGGUUACAGGUUACUUGGGUUACUUGGGUUACUUGGGUUACUUGGGUUACAAGGCUGAAUGAGGGUGCUGUUGGUCUUUGUGCACAACCCAUCUCAGACCUAGAUUUUGUUCUCUAUAUAAACAUGUGUGCCUCCUCAUUGUGUGAGACACAUCUAUUAUUCAACACAUUUUAAGUUUCUCUCUAUUCUUAAAUCAUGUUUCAAUUAAUCUUUCCUACUUAAAUAUUCUCAUGGUAUCAGAGCACGUUCUUAAUCUUUAAUCUUCAUCUUUUGGUUCAUCGGUUCUCUGUUUUCUCUUUGUCUCUGUUCGAAUCUGGCUUCUAAACAAGUUGUUCGAUUUCUUCUUCUACUUCUUCACGAAAAGGCAUCUGUUUGUGAAGGAGAGUUACUACUGGUCUGUGACAGAGCUAUUCAUCAUAAAAGCCUCAACCUUUCUGAGUUCUUUGUGGAUUAGUGUCAAAGCGGGUUGAAGAGGAGAAGUUUUCAGGCGUUUGGUCUUGUGUAUCCAAAGGUUUGAGCUUUUAUCUUCUUUAGGUCGAGAUUCUUAGAUACUUUCAGAACUAGGCUCAGAACUUAAGCUUCGGUAGAGUAGUAGUUGCUGAUUGGUUUGUUUGCGGUUGCUUAUUGGGAAGAAAGUCAACACCUUUUCGGUUUAUUUGUGGUUAUUACAUCCUGAAACUGUUGAAGAUGGCUCUCACAGUUCAGAAAACGAGUGAUACGUUCAAGGACUUGAAAGACUUGAAACUCGCAGUCACGUUGAAUGGUAACAACUAUCUGUUGUGGAAGAGAACCACAACAAAUGUAUUGGGAGGAAGGAAACUCACUAAAUACAUCGAAAAUACCUAUGAAGAAGCAAAGGCUAAAGAAGAGAACUUGAGUGAAGAUACUUGGAGGCAGAAUGAUCUGAAUGUUUUAAGCGCUCUACAUUGUUCUCUAGACGCUGCGAUCUUGGAAGGGUAUUGAAAGACCCCGAUCCGGACUUAUGGAACACUCUAGCUAAUGUCUUUGGCAAUGAGACUAAUCUGACCCGAGUGUACCAUAUCAAGAAAGCUCUUGGUGACACAAUCCGAUUUACGAUAUUCUGAGAUUCAUUACUUAGAGUCAAUAUGCGAUAAUAGAGUAAACAAAGAAUCGGAUACUUUAUUAGAUACUUAAAAGGAUUCGAUACAACUUAUGAGUUUGCAUAUAAGCUAUUACAAGUCAUAUAAUCGAUCCUAUUCUACCCGAUUCAUCACCACCCAUCUUCCCGGCCUUGAGUCUCUCACGCCUAAGCCAAGUCCUUCCCACGAUCACCAUCCUUUCCUGAAAGUCAAAGAGGCAUAAGUAUCCGNNNNNNNNNNNNNNNNNNNNNNNNNNNNNNNNNNNNNNNNNNNNNNNNNNNNNNNNNNNNNNNNNNNNNNNNNNNNNNNNNNNNNNNNNNNNNNNNNNNNGUGUACCAUAUCAAGAAAGCUCUUGGUGACACUCUAGCUAAUGUCUUUGGCAAUGAGACUAAAGUCAAAAAGAGAGUGAUUUCAACACUCACUUUGGAAAGUACAGGUCGCUUGUAGCUGAGCUUGAGAUGUUAAGACCCUUCACUACUGAGGCAAAGGCUCUUAAGGAUCGUAGAGAGCAAGAUUUGGUAUUCGGUUUGUUGCUGACACUAAACUCGAGCUACACUGAUGUGAUUCAGCAUAUACUAAGAGAUGACAAGGUGCUAACUCUAGAACAAGCGUGUGCGAAGAUUCAGAAAGAUUAUGGAGCUCAAGGACUGUUUAACAGCAAAGGAAGUCUCCCGACUGCAAACAAGGCUGGAGUUGUCAAGCAAGUAGACAAGAAGACAUGGGUUUGUGACUGUUGGUGUCGGAUCCCGCACCAGAAGUCCGAGACCAACCAAAGAUUGCCACGUAGUCAAGAUAAAGCCCGUCGAAUCCAUGAGCCAAGGGAACAGUCGAAGUGGUUGUCACCACUUCGAGAAUCCGAAGUGACUGCACUAUGACAUGAAUUCGGUGUAGAAGACACGGGUAAGUCGGUUCAAGGAUACUUAGGCCAAAAAGGCGAGGCCCAUGAAGAUCAGAGUCAACUCAAAUUCAAACGUUGAGCAUUAAAGUCAAAGAAUCAAAACGGACACAUUUAAGAAGGAAUAAUUGUAUUUAAUUAUUCAUUUUAAUGUCGUUUCUCUAUGUAUAAAUAAAAAGGCCAAUGGCCAUGUAAAGGGGAUCCUCCUCUCAAGAAAGAAAUACUAUAGCAAUUUUCGUAGCAAUUUAUAAGUUUUUACAUAUUCAUUUUUGUCCCUCAAGAAUAAUCUUUCCUACUUAAUAAAAUACUUGAGUGUGUGAAUCCGACAUCCACAUUUUGGCGCCGUCUGUGGGGAUAUAGGAUUCUUGAGUGGUCAGAUUUUUUCUUUACUACAUUUCCGAGAUAAGCAACAAUGUCCGGAGGAGACGCCGUUGAGACAUCGUUGGCAGAAACCCUCAAAGCUAUGCAGCAAACCAUGUCGGACAUAUCACAAAAGUUCUCGGAUGUGGAAAAGGCCGUCGAUACGUUGCAAACAUCCCAGGUAUCUCUUAGUCAAAACGUCAAUACUAUACAAACUCGUGUUCGCUCUUUAAGUGCAGGAAACCUUGUGGGAAUCCGAAGAGGGAUAUUCAACUCGCCAAGUUCCGCUGCACGAAAUGAAACCAGCGGACAAACAACUCCUGGUGCUACUAAUAAUGUAGCUCAGACGUUGGAAGAAGAGACACAGCUCGGGGAUGAAGAACAACUUGCAGUUCAGUACGAGCAGGAGAACCUCGACCAGUUCGAGACCAUGAGGAAGGUUAGCCAGGAAUUAAAAGAAAUGAAAUCAAAAUUUCAUCAAGCUACAAGUUCGGAGCCAGACAUCAAUCGAUUCAUUGAAGAAGCUAGGCGAACACCUUUCAUCUCGCGAAUUGCAAGUUUGAGGAUCAAAGAUGCACUCUUCCGCGCGAACAACUGGAUGGAGGUAGAGGACGAAAAAGAAAGUUUUGCCAAAAGAAAUAAGCAAGAAAAGCCGGCAAUCACCGUCCCUACCAAGAAGUUCGAGCCUAGGGAGAGCAAAGGACCAAGGAAAUUUGGGUCGCAACCCUUCAACAGUACCGUCGGAAAGCAAUUCCAAGGGAAAGGAAGAUCAAACACUUGGGUCCGUGAUGAAAGUCUAUAUUGCGACAUUCAUAAAGUAACCGGACAUUUAACCAAUGAUUGCAGCGUUCUUAAAAGGCACCUCGCAGAGCUUUGGGCCAGUGGAGAUCUUUCCAAAUUUGAUAUAAAAGAUUUUGUGAAGGAAUACCACGAAGCAAAGGAAAACUCCAAAGAUCAAGAUUCCAAAAGACCAAGGUUAUCCAACGAGGAAGAACCAAGGAGUUCGAAGGGUAAGAUCAAUGUGAUUCUAGGAGGCUCAUAAUUUUGUCGAGAUUCGAUAAGUUCCAUCAAAAAACAUAGACGAAAUAUCUUACUCAAAGCAAGCUUGAGCGAAGAAGUUGAUUUUCAAGGUGCCUCAAUAUCAUUUAACGAAGAAGAAACGCGGCAUCUCGAAAGACCGCAUGAUGAUGCUCUAGUCAUUACUCUUGAUGUUGCUAACUUCGAAGUAUCAAGGAUCCUUAUCGAUACAGGCAGUUCAGUCGACUUGAUCUUUUUAAGUACUCUAGAAAGAAUGGGAAUCAGCCGAGGAGACAUAGUAGGACCCCCAUCUCCGUUAGUUGCGUUCACAAGCGAGUCAGCCAUGUCUCUCGGAACAAUCAAGCUACCGGUCCUUGCCAAGAAGGUAUCGAAGAUCGUGGACUUCGUUGUCUUUGAUAAGCCCGCAGCUUACAACAUCAUCCUCGGGACUCCCUGGAUUUAUCGAAUGAAAGCAGUCCCCUCUACAUACCAUCAAUGUAUCAAAUUUCCAACAUCAAAUGGGGUGGAAACAAUUCGGGGAGAUCAAGAAGCUUCACGGACGUGUUACCUAGCUAGCCACCGUAUGAAGAUUCAAUAGCAAUUAACGAAGCCCGCAAAAGANNNNNNNNNNNNNNNNNNNNNNNNNNNNNNNNNNNNNNNNNNNNNNNNNNNNNNNNNNNNNNNNNNNNNNNNNNNNNNNNNNNNNNNNNNNNNNNNNNNNAGUGGUGUUGGAAGAAGACAAGCCGGACCGGAAAAUUCGAAUUGGAGCAUGCUUGACUGGCCAAACAAAAGAAGCUUUGGUCGAACUUUUAAAGAAAAACAAAACAUCGUUUGCAUGGUCAGCAGCAGACAUGCCUGGUAUAGAUCCAAAUAUAAUUUGUCACGAGCUAAACGUGGAUCCAAGCUUCAAGCCGGUGAAACAGAAAAGAAGAAAGCUCGGAGUGGAGCGAGCCAAAGUAGUAAAUGACGAAGUGGAUAAACUUUUGAAGAUAUGGUCCAUAAGAGAAGUGCAAUACCCGGAAUGGGUAGCAAACACUGUCGUUGUCAAAAAGAAGAAUGGGAAGGAUAGGGUUUGCAUCGAUUUUACAGACCUCAAUAAAGCAUGUCCCAAAGAUAGUUUCCCACUCCCACAUAUAGAUCGACUUGUAGAGUCCACCGCUGGGAACGAGCUGUUGACAUUCAUGGAUGCCUUCUCGGGUUAUAAUCAAAUAAUGAUGAACCCCGAAGACCAAGAAAAAACGUCAUUUAUUACUGAUAGAGGUAUCUAUUGUUACAAGGUAAUGCCUUUUGGUUUAAAAAAUGCAGGAGCAACUUAUCAACGGUUGGUUAACAAAAUGUUCCAUAAUCAUCUCGGAAAAACAAUGGAAGUCUACAUAGAUGAUAUGCUAGUUAAAUCAUUAAAGAAAGAGGAUCACGUUAAGCAUUUAGAGGAGUGUUUUGAUAUUCUCAAUAAAUAUCAAAUGAAGCUGAACCCGGCGAAGUGUACAUUUGGAGUCCCAUCCGGAGAAUUUCUUGGCUAUAUCGUGACAGAAAGAGGGAUUGAAGCCAAUCCAAAUCAAAUUAACGCCUUUCUAAACAUGCCAUCUCCAAGAAACUUCAAAGAAGUACAACGGUUGACUGGGCGGAUUACGGCUUUGAAUCGUUUCAUCUCGAGAUCAACAGAUAAGUCGUUACCUUUCUACCAAAUUCUAAAAGGGAACAAAGGAUUCCUUUGGGAUGAGAAGUGUGAAGAAGCUUUUGGGCAGCUUAAAGCAUACUUAACCACUCCAUCUAUACUGUCCAAACCAGAAGUGGAUGAAAAAAUUUAUUUGUACGUGUCGGUUUCAAACCACGCGGUUAGUGGAAUCUUGGUUCGGGAAGACCGUGGGGAGCAGAAACCAAUUUACUACGUAAGCAAGUCAAUGACGGAUCCAGAAACCAGAUACACAAUGAUGGAAAAACUCGCACUCGCGGUGGUGACUUCGGCCCGAAAGCUGCGCCCAUAUUUUCAAUCCCAUCCGAUUGAAGUAUUAACCAACCAACCACUCCGAACAAUACUUCAUAGUCCAAGUCAGUCCGGACGUUUGGCGAAAUGGGCGGUGGAAUUAAGCGAGUACGAUAUAGAAUUCAAAAGCCGGAUCAGUAUGAAAGCUCAGGUUCUAGCAGAUUUCUUAACCGAGCUACCAAUACCUGGAACGAUAGAGCAUUCGGAGAACCAAACCUGGAAAUUACACAUAGAUGGGUCUUCAACAAAGCAAGGAUCCGGAGUGGGAAUCAAGUUGGAAUCCCCAACAUCAGAAAUUCUAGAACAAUCAUUCCGGUUGUUAUUCAAUGCCUCCAACAACGAGGCAGAAUACGAAGCCCUGAUUGCCGGACUUCGAUUAGCACAAGGAGUUGGAGCUAAGGAAAUAUUGGCUUAUUGCGAUUCGCAACUAGUAGUUAACCAGUUUAAUGGAGACUAUGAAGCCAAAGACUCAAGAAUGGAAGCGUACCUCGAAGUGGUGAAGGAUCUAUCUAAAAAUUUCUCGAAAUUCGAAUUAAUCCGCAUACCUCGAGGAGAAAAUACAAUUGCGGAUGCACUUGCCGCAUUAGCGUCAACAUCAGACCCUGAGUUGAAAAGAGUUAUUCCAGUGGAAUGCAUUUCGGAACGAAGCAUUCAAGACAACAAAGAAACCCUCAUAGUUACAAGGUCUCGAGCAGCGGCACGCGACCGUGGCGAACCAGAGAUCGAACCGCCACCCAACAAACGAAGGAAGUCAAAGGGAUCGAAUACAUCUAACAAGGAACCCGUUGUCUCAGCUGAAGAGGUGAUUCCAGAAACAAUGUUAGAAACCGAGCCGUUAAUCGAGGAGGAUGUUCUUGAACCAAACGAGCAUCCCGAGCCAGAGCCACGAGUAUUUCACAAAGUUGACCAAAUUCCGGCUAAAGACUAGGGGGCUGACUGGAGGGAGCCAAUAAAGCACUACAUCAUGACAGGUGAGCUCCCAAAGAAUAAAUGGCAGGCCAGGAAAAUGAAAAUCGUUAGCGCGAAAUUUUGUCUGUCAAAAGAUACAUUGUAUAGACGAGGUGUCAGUGACCCUUACCUAUUAUGCAUUUUUGGGCCCGAAGUCGAAAUCGUUAUGAGCGAAGUGCAUGAAGGAUUAUGUGGGAGUCAUUCAUCAGGAAGGGCUAUGGCUUUUAAAGUUAAAAGAAUGGGAUAUUAUUGGCCCACUAUGAUUACAGAUUGUGUUAAGUUCGCCCAAAGAUGCAGGCGCUGCCAACUCCAUGCACCAUUGAUCCAUCAACCGUCGGAAUUAUUCUCCUCCAUUUCCUCCCCAUACCCGUUUAUGAGGUGGUCAAUGGACAUCAUUGGACCAUUGCACAAAUCAACUCGAGGUGUACAAUACCUUUUAGUCCUUACGGACUACUUUUCGAAAUGGAUUGAAGCUGAGGCGUAUGUUGGUAUCAAGGAUUCGGCGGUGAAGACCUUUAUUUGGAAAAACAUUAUAUGUCGACAUGGAGUUCCAUACGAAAUAGUCACUGAUAAUGGACCACAAUUCAUUUCACACGAGUUUGAUGCCUUUUAUGCGGACUGGGGAAUCAAAGUUAGUUAUUCUACUCCACGAUAUCCGCAAGGAAAUGGUCAAGCUGAAGCCGCGAACAAGACAAUAUUAAGCAAUCUCAAGAAACGCUUAAGUCAUCUAAAGGGAGGAUGGUAUGAGGAACUCCAACCCGUCAUGUGGGCCUAUCGUACAACCCCUAGGCGACCUACAGGAGAAACUCCAUUCUCUUUGGUUUAUGGCAUGGAGGCGGUAGUACCAGCUGAACUCAAUGUGCCCGGACUUCGCCGAACAGAAGCACCGUUAAAUGAGGAAGAAAAUUCAGCAAUGCUUAAUGAUUCACUAGAUACCAUAAAUGAAAGGCGUGAUCAAGCUCUAAUUCGGAUCCAGAAUUACCAGCAGGCAGCAGCCCGGUAUUACAAUUCUAAGGUUAAAAGUAGGCCGUUCUUCAUGGGAGAUUAUGUAUUAAGGCGCGUCUUUGACAACAAAAAAGAAGAAGGCGCCGGUAAACUCGGUAUUAAUUGGGAAGGACCUUACAUUAUUACCGAAGUGGUUCGGAACGGUGUUUAUAGGUUGAAAGACUUAGAAGACAAUCCAGUCAAUCGACCUUGGAAUGUGAUCAACCUAAAGAAGUUUUAUGUUUAAAGCUACAUUCAUUGUUUAUGUACAUGAACUACGGUGUGGCUUGAUCCCGAGAUGGGUACGUAGGCAGCUCGGAAACGAGUUCAGCUAUUAAUAAAAAUUUGUUUUAUUUCUUUAUUAAAGGAAAAAGGUUCGACUGUGCGAACAAGUGAAGCAAAUAAAGGGUCGGCUAUGCGAACAUACAAGAGAUUGGAAAUAGAGCGUUUAUUCAAAAGGCGGAACGUCCCUCAUCGUACACUUCGGACUAUGAAAAUCUUGUUGACGAGCAUAACACUUCAACUCCUUGACCAGCAAGAUCAAGGAUUGGCAUCAUGCAGUCCAGAAUUCGAGCAAAGUCAGAGAUUCCAAGCUCAAUCCACUCUCCGGAGUGAGAUUCAAGGAUGUGAAGAUCUCUUGACACCGUAGUAAGCCUGCGUUGCAUCCGGUUAAUCCUCUUCCGGAGUCUCCUCUUUUCCAACAUAAGCUUCCGAUGUUGAAGCUCGAGUGCCUCUAUGAACGCCGUCGCUGUUCCUUGGUCUCUGAUUGGGAGAUCCCUGAUCAAAGCACAUGGGGCUCGGAUCUGAGAUCUCAAGAAGCCGCGAAGUGGAGGAGGCUGCCUGCUUGGCUCAUUUGGAACAUCUUCGUUUAUCAUUCUGAUUCUGGAGAAGUCGGGCAUAGAUUCUGAACAGCGAAGAUUGAACUCCAUACCUACUAAAAUAAAAAGAAUGGUGAGGAGUAAAGGGAAAUUGAGACUAUAAUUUAUAGGAACGUCAUAUCCCUAGCAAGCUACGGAUUCUAUCCUAAGAAUGGAGUGAUUCGCGGAGAGAUUUAUGCCCUCGAACAGAUCCUGCAUUAAAAGACGCAUCUCCGAGAAUAUUUGAAAAGAAAGGAAAGUUGCAAAUGUUUCCAUAAAUAAAAAGGGGCCGAAGCCCAUUACGAGUUUAAAAUAAGGGAAGAAGUUAAAGAACAUUUAUGGAAGAGGCUCAGGAACAGGCUCCUUCAUCGCCGGUUUAGUCUUCGAAGUGGACGCCUUGUUCUUGGCAUCCACUUCGGGAUGAUCCCGAACGCGUUUCCGACAGGUGCUGGCCUCCUCUUCGUCUUCUUCUUCGCUGUCAGAUGGAACGGCGCAGACGGGGGCGUUCACGGGACCCGGGAUUCCUUUAGCGCGGAAGAUACAUCCGAAGCAUCUUCGGGAUCUCAGCGACAGAGUCAAAGUUCCGCCAUUCCCAUUGAAAGGGAUCACUUUCCAAGGCCCGUAUCUUCCUCUCCACCCGAGCAAUGCGAGCCUCGAGUGUUUGCCUUUUGAGGCCCAGCCGCUGCCUCUCUUCACACAAGCGACGGUACUUGUCGGCAACCUAGCAUAAAGAUGAGCGAAUAAGAUGAAACAAAAAGUUUUUAUAUAAAAAACUUUAAAUAUUUACCUUGUCAAUAAAAUCGCAAGCCUCUUUCUUCUCCUUUGGAGGAAAGUGAAAGACGGCGUGAGGGAAGAGAACGCCGGCCGGUUCAAAGCCGUCGCCGGACAAGAAGAGUGGGCUGCCGGGAUCAACGGGGGCUACUUUUUCGUUUUCCAUUCUCGCAAUAUUACUCAAGUAAGAUUCUAAAAACGUAGUUAAAUAAAGCUUGGAGGUAGGUAAGCCUUUAUUUAUAAUGAUUUAGGGUUUGUCUUGGAACCAUAAAUCCAAUAAUGGUAGAGUGUCCGAGUGGUUUAAACCAUUUUUGGAAAAUCGAGAAAAGGCAGUUAUUGCACUAAAGACGAGCCGUUUUCCUUACUUAUAAAAAGGGAAAGAGCAACCGUCGCAUUAACUACAAAAGUUUCUAAGGCCCAAGCCCAACAAAUUUAUCGAGUUGACUAAACCCGAAGUGGGGAACUCGCUUUAAGCCGAGCUCAGUUCUCGCAUUCUAAAGAGAAAGGUCUGAUCAGCCUAAAAAUCUCAAAAGCAUAACCACAAGGCCACAAAAGGUUAAAAGCGGACUUUGCAAACCCGCAUAUAAUUUUAACCAAACCCCCUUGGGUCAUAACCUAGAAAGGUUUAAAAGCCUCCUCAGGCAAAUAUCUUGUUCAAAAGAAAUAAUAAAGCCUCCUUAGGCAAAGACAAGUUCGAAAUUAAGUUUUAAAAUAAAUGGGACAAUCCCCAAUUUAAAGUGGACGCAGCCACUACGGAGUGAUAUCCACCUCGGACUCCGGCUCAGCAACCGAAGUUUCAUUCACCUCCUUGACUGGUGCUUGGUCGGAUGGAGCUCUUGGUUCGCCCUCUACAUUACAACCAUCCUCCGGAGUAACCGCCGGUGCCGCAGGUACUUCGGGUGGGACGACAUCCUCCGCCUCACCUAAACCUGGAAAGGACAGUUCCAGUCAACUUUUUUAAAAAAAAAACACACAUAAGGUGAGAAAAAGGUAGUAAGUAUCAGGAGCCAAGCAUUACCUGCCCAGUCUAGACCCGAUUCACUUAUAGGAGGCGAUUCAGUGAAGAAUUCCUCGAAGUCCUGCGGGAUGAAGGUCGAAGUAGGGAGAGCUGCCAAGCGACUCCGCUUUUCAGAAAGAUUAGCCGACAGUUCGGUCCUCUCUUGCACCUCGGAGAAAUCUGUAUCAUGGAUUUGAUCCAACAAGAUCAGGUUGCUCUCGUGCUCCUUGAUGUCUGAUUCCAAAUCUGAUCUAGCUUUCUCGGUCUGCAUGAAUCGGAUGGCCCCUUGGAUCAACUCCAUCCCGCGUCCCUUAACCUCCUUUCUGGCUUUUGAUGCCGACCUCGCUAAAUCGGAGUCACGCAAUUUGGCAAUCGCCUUGUACUUCGCGUUAAGCUCAAUAAGCUGGUUGUUCAGGGUGUCGGCGGUUGAUUCGGAUUCAUGAAGUCUACCCUGAACACCAUAAAGCUCACCCUGGAGUUUGAAAUUUUGGUCGUACUGGUCCUGUAGCUCCCCCUUUAUCUUCGCAAGCUCGGACGAUAGACCAUCAACCUUGUCUUCCAAAUCAUGCUUGGAGUCGGUAGAAGAGCGGAGGUCAACCUCGAGAUUAGAAAACUUGUCCUUCCACGUGUCGAUCUCUUUCUCCCGACCAAUGACCAACCCUUCGUAAUGUUCAAUUAUGUCAUUGAGCUCGCCGUUCGCCUGAUAUUACACAUAAACCCGGAAUGACGGAUCAGUUCGAAAAAUGACGGUAAAGUCAGAAAUUGAAGCGGAACUAACCCGAGAUGAAUGAUAAGCAUGAAGUAGGUAUCGUUCACGAAUUUCAGAGCGCCACUUGUUGAAUUCCGGCAGGAUCGCACCUGACUGGGUUUUGAAGCACCGAAAAACGUUACCUUCUUUCUCCAUGGCUACGAAAGCGAAAAAGGAAAGGACUUAGAAAUUCAAAAUAAGUAAAAAGCGAAAGAAUAGUUCGCUAUGUGCUCACCACAUGACGAAAAGAAUACAUGUGUAUCGUCAUACCUGAGAGCGAUUUGAUCUGAGGAACAAGAGCAGGCUUUGUCUUCGGAGAAUCAUCUCGAGACUCAGAACUAUCCUUCUGAGAAGCUGCACCCAGGUUCGUCUUCUCACCACUACGUUGAGAAGAAGAAGACAUAUCAACAGGACGAGGCGGACCCAUUGGUUCAGUAGGAGGGGAUGAUCGAGGAGAACGGUCAGUCCGGGCCCUUGACUUCUCUCUUCGCGGAGAAGAACCACUGCGGGAUGACCUGUCCCUCUUUUUGCGAAUUAAAUCCUUGAGCGGUUCGUUGCUAAAGUCAUCCCGGGAAGAACGAUGAGAAUCACGGUUAGGAGAUUGAAGCCUCCGGGGAGGACGGUCAUCGUGAUGUUCACGUCGAGGUGUUAAUCUGAAAACAGCGACGGAUCUGGCUCCUUCGGUGCUACCGUCGUCAACCAAUAAGGUUUUGCUAUAAUCUUUUUUGUCAAUGGCGGUCGCAAGGAACGCCUUGUUCUCGUCGCAAGCCUCAGCCAUCGGCUUGGAGAUCACUUUUCGCUGGGCAGUGAGAGCCCGAGCUAACAUUCCCUAGGUUGAGGGAGGAGGCGGAAGACGAUGAAGAUGGUUGGGAGGGCUCAUCCUGAGUUUUCGAUUGGCUUCUAUGAACCGAUCGAGAGUGAAAGAAUUCCAAAGGGUUUCCCCUUCGAGGAUUAUUUUGAAGAAGCCAAUGAAUUCUUCAGUUGGUAAAGUCGGAGCGACGAAAGCUGCGAAGUGAAAAUAACAAGGUUAAUCAAUAGGAAUAAUAAAAUUGGGGGAAUGUAUGCGACCUAACUUCUACCAGGUUUCGUGGACCACUUCGAUGGAAGCGAAUCUGAUAGACUUCCAACCGAAGCAGGGGUUUUCUUAAUCAGGAACCAAGGGUGAUGCCAAUUUUCAUCCUUGUUUGGAAGAUGCGAAAUGACGUUCCACGCUUCUCACGCUUCGAAAUAAUGAAAAUAGCAUUAGGGUAUGCCGAGAAAUACCCUGUCUUCUUCGAUGAACUUCUCACGCUUAGAAGCUCAUUCAACUCGGGGACCCCUAUAAUGUAUCCGGCUUCCGCCGCUACUGUUAUAAUUCCAAGUAUGGUUCGGAGAAGAUUGGGGGUCAAUUGAGGAUGAGCGAUCUCAAGAACCGCCAAGUACCGAACUAGGGCUUCGGGAAGCGGGAAGGUUAAUCCGCAACCCUUGAAAUAAAUCUCGUACACACAGAAGUAACCAUCGCGAUGGUUCUCUAGGGAUUCUGUGGGGGCAGCUAUUUGUGCUUCCGCCAUAAUUUCCGGCGGAAUCCGGCAAAGCUCUCUCAAUCGCUCGAGGGAUUGAAGAGUACAAGUGGAUCUAUAGUGCGGGCCGGCAAUAUCAUUAGGGCGAGUGCACUCGUCAUUACUAGGGCGCCUAUCGUCGAAUGACGGAGAUUCGGGUCUUUCAGAAUCAGAAGUCAUUGGGAAAAUGGAAGGUUCGAGAUCCAACGAAGAGAAAUUUGGCAAAGGAAAAGAAGAGAGAAAUUUCGGCUAAAAAUGCAAAAGUAAAAGAAGUAAUGAUGAAAGAAGUUACCUCACGGAAGUUAAGUGAUAAUGGUGAAACCGCCUUGGGAAUCGUGGGGGAAGUGGAAAGGUUUCCCGCUUUAAUAGUAAAUAAUUAAGAUACGGUCAUAAUGAUGACAGAUGUCACUCAAGUAGAAAUGGCUAGUGCCGAAAUUAAAGGAGUGAUGAGAUUUUCGGCGGGAAAUCAGAAAGAUUCUCGAGCGCAAUCUUUGGUCAUUUAAGCAUUUAAAGUCCUCCGAAUUGGAAUGGCACUUCGAAGAACUUGGGGGGCUAAUUGUUGGUGUCGGAUCCCGCACCAGAAGUCCGAGACCAACCAAAGAUUGCCACGUAGUCAAGAUAAAGCCCGUCGAAUCCAUGAGCCAAGGGAACAGUCGAAGUGGUUGUCACCACUUCGAGAAUCCGAAGUGACUGCACUAUGACAUGAGUUCGGUGUAGAAGACACGGGUAAGUCGGUUCAAGGAUACUUGGGCCAAAAAGGCGAGGCCCAUGAAGAUCAGAGUCAACUCAAAUUCAAACGUUGAGCAUUAAAGUCAAAGAAUCAAAACGGACACAUUUAAGAAGGAAUAAUUGUAUUUAAUUAUUCAUUUUAAUGUCGUUUCUCUAUGUAUAAAUAAAAAGGCCAAUGGCCAUGUAAAGGGGAUCCUCCUCUCAAGAAAGAAAUACUAUAGCAAUUUUCGUAGCAAUUUAUCAGUUUUUACAUAUUCAUUUUUGUCCCUCAAGAAUAAUCUUUCCUACUUAAUAAAAUACUUGAGUGUGUGAAUCCGACAUCCACAGUGACCAUUGCAAGAAAAAAGGUCACUUGAAGGAUAAAUGCUGACUUCUUCAUCCCCAUUUAAAACCAGAAAAAUUCAAGAACUUUCAAGCCAAAGGAAAUGCGGUUAAUGGAAGUGAUGGGUGGGUCAGAGAAUGAAGAAAGAGCUAUGGUUCAGUAUGGGCAAGAGAAAGCGAUGCAGGCCAUUACACAAGGCAAGAGUGGUGCAUCUACCUCACAAGCUCCGGAGACUAUUGUCAUGAACAAGGCUGACCUCGAGUCUCUCCUCCAAUCCAUUGCAUCUAAAUUACACAUUGGCGGUAUUUGUUUCUUAACUUCUAAUACUCGUGAUAAAGAUUCAUUAGUAUUAGAUUCAGGGGCUUCUCACCAUAUGAUUAGUAACCCUAGGUUGUUAGAGAACAUUAAACCGGCCUUAGGUAAUGUUAAAGUUGCAAAUGGACAUAAUGUUCCAAUAGAAGGCAUAGGUUGCAUAGAUUUGUUCAAUAAGAAGUCUAGUGCUUUCUAUAUUCCUAAGUUCACUUCAAAUCUUCUCUCUGUUAAGAAAACGACUAAGGACUUGAAUUGUUUAGCUAUUUUUAGUCCUAAUGACGUGAAGUUGCAGGAUAUUGAGAGUGGAAAAGUGUUUGGGCAAGGAAGCACCAAGGAUGACUUAUAUGUGUUUCAAGACAUCUCUUUAAAUUCUGUUUCUAAGAAUAAUGUUUCUUCUAUCUUUUCAAACUCUGUUAAAACAUCGGUUGUAUUGUGGCAUGAGAGACUUGGCCAUCCACAUUCUCGAGCUUUAAGUUUAUUAAUGCCUGGUUUUUCUUAUGAUUGCGCAAAUUGUGAAGCAUGCAUAUUAGGCAAACAUUGCAAAGCUGUUUUUCCUAAGUCUAGUGCGAUUUAGGAAAAAUGUUUUGACCAUGUGCAUUCUGAUGUGUGGUCUUCACCUUGUGCAUCUAGAGACAAUCAUAAGUACUUUGUCACUUUUAUAGAUGAGAAAUCUAAGUAUACAUGGGUAACUUUGAUGCCAUCUAAGGAUAGAGUUUAUGAUGCGUUUAUAAACUUUCAAAACUAUGUGACUAAUCACUUUGAUGCAAAGAUUAAGAUUCUUAGAACAGAUAAUGGAGGUGAAUAUACAAGCAACAAGCUCAAAGAACACUUGGAGAAAUGCGAAAUCCUUCACCAAACUAGCUGUCCAUACAAUCCACAACAAAAUGGAGUUGCUGAGAGGAAGAAUAGGCAUUUAAUGGAGGUGGCAAGAGCUAUGUUAUUUCAGAAGCAUAUGCCAAAGCGGUUUUGGGGAGAUGCGGUGAUGACAGCAUGUUAUCUCAUCAAUCGAAUACCGACACGUAUCCUUGAUGAUAAAUCUCCAUUUCAGAUUUUAAACAAAACUAUCCCUAACAUUGAUCAUUUGAGGGUCUUUGGAAGUCUUUGUUUUGUGUUUAUCCCAGGUGACUUGAGGAACAAACUGGAACCCAAGAGUAAUAAGUGUGUUUUUAUUGGAUACUCAACAACUCAGAAAGGUUACAAGUGCUUCGAUCGAGCCAACAAUCGAUAUUAUGUAUCAAGUGAUGUCAAGUUUAUGGAAGACAAGGCCUACUUUGAAGAGAAGAGCUGGGAAAGCGUUAAGGACCUCCCUAAUUCCACUUUAGAUCGUGCUCAGAGUCUUCGGCAUAUUCUAGAACAUUUGGGUAAUGUAAGCUCUCCACAAGAAGAUAAGGAAGCUACACCAAAUGAUGGUAACAAUCAAGCCCAAGAAAGCGGUGAUAAUACACCACAAGAGUCUCUGGAUAAUCAACAAGAGAGUGGUAAAGAAGAAGGGUUAAGUGAAGAAGUGGAAGAGAAAGAUCCAUCUAGUGAAGGUGACAUUAUUGAAUCAUCAAGAGGAGAUGAGACUUAUCAAGCUCCACCAGUAACACGAGAUCCUAUCUAUACUCGGGAGAAUCCAAGAAGGAGUACAAGAGAGAGAAAAUUGAAGAAGUGCCUCUAUAAUUGCCAAGCCGUGGCUCAUCCAAUUCAAGCAACAUUUUCGAUUGACCUUCUUCCCGAGGAACAUAAAGCUUUCAUUAGUAAGCUAGAUGUGGAAUUUAUCCCACAAAGCUAUGAAGAAGAUAAAGAAAGAAAGGAGUGGACGAAUGCGGUAGAUGAUGAAGUACAAGCUAUGAUAAGGAACCAUACAUGGGAUGAAGAAGAGCUACCAAAAGGAAAGAAGUGUGUUAGCUCAAAAUGGGUAUUCACCAUUAAGUACAAGAGUGAUGGUGAAAUUGAAAGAUAUAAGGCUAGGCUGGUUGCAAGAGGGUUCACACAAACCUAUGGUGAUGAUUAUAGGGAAACAUUUGCUCUGGUAGCUAAGCAACACACGGUGAAGGUUGUUCUAUCUUUGGCGGUUAAUUUGGAUUGGGAGUUGUGGCAAAUGGAUGUCAAGAAUGCUUUCCUUCAGGGGAGUUGGAAGAAGAAGUCUACAUGUCACCUCCUCCGGGUUUAGAAGACAUAGUGGCUCCGGGAAAGGUCUUAAGGCUUCGGAAAGCAAUCUAUGGUCUCAAACAGUCUCCAAGAGCUUGGUAUCACAAGCUAAGCUCCACCUUAUUGGCUAAUGGCUUCAAGAAGUCACAUUCGGAUCAUACUUUGUUUACUAAGCAAGAUAAUCAAGGCAUAGUAGUGGUAUUGGUCUAUAUUGAUGACUUGAUUAUCUCGGGAAGUAACAAAGAAGGGAUCCAAGCGAUUAAGUCUUCUUUACACUCAGCCUUUGAUAUUAAAGAUUUGGGUGUGUUGAAGUAUUUCUUAGGGAUUGAGGUGUGUAGAUCCAAGGAGGGACUGUUUCUCUCACAAAGGAAAUACGCCCUCGAUCUCCUAAAGCUUACAGGGAAACUUUGAGCUAAACCAGUGGAUACACCACUAGAGCAAGGAUACAAGGUCAAUCGAAAGGGGGAGAAGGAUGAUACUCCAUAUCAUUGCCCGGAACAGUAUAGAAGACUUGUAGGUAAGCUCAUAUAUUUGACAUAUACUCGGCCUGAUCUCUCUUUUGCCGUGAAUCAGGUGGCUCAGCAUAUGCAAGCCCCUACGGUGUACCAUUGGAGUUUGGUGGAGAGAAUUCUGAUAUAUAUCAAAGGAAGUCCCGGCAAAGGCAUUUGGAUGGGAAGAAACUUUAGCACGGAAAUUGUUGGGUACUGUGAUGCAGACUACAAUGGAGAUCGCAACACAAGGCAGUCCACAACCGGCUUUUGCACUUUCAUUGGUGGCAAUCUUGUAACUUGGAAGACAAAUAAACAGAAGGUGGUGUCUUGUUCGAGUGCUGAAGCGGAGUAUAGGGCUAUGAAGAAGCUCACAAACGAGUUGACAUGGCUGAAGGCUCUACUAAAGGACUUUGGGAUCGAGCAAAAGACGCCAAUUACCUUCCAUUGCGACUACCAAGCAGCCAUCCAUAUUGCUACUAACCCCGUGUUCCACGAGAGGACCAAGCACAUAGAGACGGACUGCCACAAGACAAGAGAGAAGAUCGAAGACGGUACAAUCCUUCCUUGCUACACUACGAGUUCGGACCAAUUGGCCGAUAUCUUCACCAAGGCAGCAAGUAACCAAGUUUAUCAAUUUAUCCAUGGCAAACUUGGUCUUGUAGACCUCACACAUCCUUGAGAAAGGCUCCCUAACUCGUUGGGACAAUACUCUUUUUCCCUAGGCUUGGUUUUGUCCCACGUGGUUUUCCAAGCUUAGGUUUUUAAUGAGGUUGUUCUUGCGAGUGCCAAGUUUAUACACAAUGAGUAUUGUAGUAUAAACUUGAGGGGGAGUGUUAAUCAAGAAGACAUUUAACACUUGGGUUACUCGGGUUACAGGUUACAUGGUUAAAUGUAGGUUACUUGGGUUACUCGGGUUACAGGUUACUUGGGUUACUCGGGUUACAAGGCUGAAUGAGGGUGCUGUUGGUCUUUGUGCACAACCCACCUCAGACCUAGAUUUUGUUCUCUAUAUAAACAUGUGUGCCUCCUCAUUGUGUGAGACACAUCUAUUAUUCAACACAUUUUAAGUUUCUCUCUAUUCUUAAAUCAUGUUUUAAUCAAUCUUUCCUAAGCUGAGAUAGAUGCGCCACUCUUGCCUUGUGUAAUGGCCUGCAUCGCUUUCUCUUGCCCGUACUGAACCAUAGCUCUUUCUUCAUUCUAUGACCCACCAUCACUUCCAUUAACCGCAUUUGCCUUUGGCUUGAAGUUCUUGAAUUUUUCUGGUUUUAAAUGGGGAUGAAGAAGCCAGCAUUUAUCCUUCAAGUGACCUUUUUUCUUGCAAUGGUCAUAAACCCAUGUCUUCUUGUCUACUUGCUUGACAACUCCAGCCUUGUUUGCAGUCGGGAGACUUCCUUUGCUGUUAAACAGUCCUUGAGCUCCAUACUCUUUCUGAAUCUUCGCACACGCUUGUUCUAGAGUUGGCACCUUGUCAUCUCUUAGUAUAUGCUGAAUCACAUCAGUGUAGCUCGAGUUUAGUGUCAGCAACAAACCGAAUACCAAAUAUUGCUCUCUACGAUCCUUAAGAGCCUUUGCCUCAGUAGUGAAGGGUCUUAACAUCUCAAGCUCAGGUACAAGCGACCUGUACUUUCCAAAGUGAGUGUUGAAAUCACUCUCUUCUUGACUUAGCUCACCAAGAACUUUCUUGAUAUGGUACACUCGGGUCAGAUUAGUCUCAUUGCCAAAGACAUUAGCUAGAGUGUCCCAUAACUCCUUUGAAGUCUCACAAUACGAAUACCCUUCCAAGAUCGCAGCGUCUGGAGAACAAUGUAGAGCGCUUAAAACAUUCAGAUCAUUCUGCCUCCAAGUAUCUUCACUCAAGUUCUCUUCUUUAGCCUUUGCUUCUUCAUAGGUAUUUUCGAUGUAUUUAGUGAAUUUCCUUCCUCCCAAUACAUUUGUUGUGGUUCUCUUCCACAACAGAUAGUUGUUACCAUUCAACGUGACUGCGAAUUUCAAGUCUUUCAAGUCCUUGAACGUAUCACUCGUUUUCUGAACUGUGAGAGACAUCUUCAACAGUUUCAGGAUGUAAUAACCACAAAUAAACCGAAAAGGUGUCGACUUUCUUCCCAAUAAGCAACCGCAAACAAACCAAUCAGCAACUACUACUCUACCGAAGCUUUAAUUCUGAGCCUAGUUCUGAAAGUAUCUAAGAAUCUCGACCUAAAGAAGAUAAAAGCUCAAACCUUUGGAUACACAAGACCAAACGCCUGAAAACUUCUCCUCUUCAACCCGCUUUGACACUAAUCCACAAAGAACUCAGAAAGGUUGAGGCUUUUACGAUGAAUAGCUCUGUCACAGACCAGUAGUAACUCUCCUUCACAAACAGAUGCCUUUUCGUGAAGAAGUAGAAGAAGAAACCGAACAACUUGUUUAGAAGCCAGAUUCGAACAAAGACAAAGAGAAAACAGAGAACCGAUGAACCAAAAGAUGAAGAUUAAAGAUUAAGAACGUGCUCUGAUACCAUGAGAAUAUUUAAGUAGGAAAGAUUGAUUGAAACAUGAUUUAAGAAUAGAGAGAAACUUAAAAUGUGUUGAAUAAUAGAUGUGUCUCACACAAUGAGGAGGCACACAUGUUUAUAUAGAGAACAAAAUCUAGGUCUGAGAUGGGUUGUGCACAAAGACCAACAGCACCCUCAUUCAGCCUUGUAACCCGAGUAACCCAAGUAACCUACAUUUAACCCUGUAACCUGUAACCCGAGUAACCCAAGUGUUAAAUGUCUUCUUGAUUAACACCUGGAACCGGAAGGUAGCUAUUCGACGACAGAGCACGAAAUCCGGGUGACUAGGUUGACUAGUGAUUUGUUCAGCGAUUUCGAGAAUGGUAAGUAACAGUAACAUAAAAUAGCGUACUUGAACAGCUGUAUAUUAUUAUGAACGACUAUGUAAUAAUAUUGAAUGUCUAAAAGAAAACUUGUGGUAUAAAUGGCACAACUGGAGCUUCAAGUGGGGAGCAAACUGAGAUGGCUGAGCCAGCACAUCGCAAGCGAUGCGGAGCCGGCAACAGCCGCGGAUAACAGUUAAUAUUAUAAAGUAGAGCAAUAAGGAUAGAAAAAGUGUGAGGCCGCUUAAUUAAUUACAAUUACAUGUGUACAGGUGAAGGUGGUGACAACGACAACAAUGACCCACCUGUCGGAGGAAAUGUUGCAGGGAUGAUACGCUUGCUAAACCUGUCAGAACACACUUUUGCACGUGACGCAGCACCGGUGCUUAACGACGCCAACCCAGACGGUAAUGUCUAUAUAGAGGGCUAUGUUUUGAGUUGGUUAUGUAAUUCUGUUUUUGGUGGUUCACAUACUAACAUAGAUGGUUACACAUCGCAGCAGUUGGUGAUAGAACAUGAUUGUUCCUACUGGACGUGGAUUACGAAGGGGAUGAGAUAUUUGUAGGGUGAGUGUUCAAAAACCGAGACGACUGUAGAGUGAAGAUAGCAGUUCAUGCGAUCAACAGGAAGUUCAGCUUCUGUAAUGAUCUGACGGCCGUCUUUUCCCCUCUUUACGGCGGCUGUGGGGAGAGAGAACUCUCUAGGCUGGGCGAAUUGUUUAGUUGUUCUAGAAAAAUUAUAAUCAUUUUUUGCUUGGAAUAUAUAUAUUGGUUUAUGUUCAAUUUAUGAUUUUGAAUGCAGUGAUUUUGGAUCCAUCGAAGAUCCAUCCAAAAGGUGCGGAUCUUAUCCGCUACGGGUCAGACUUUUAAAAACGCGCGAAUCCUUUCAGCUAUAGGUCGGAUCUUCUUAAUUAAGAUUUUUAAUCUCGACAUUACCCUUCUUAAUUUUAAUUAAUCAUCUUCUUAAUGCUUAAUUGAGUGGUAAUUGAUGUAAUUAGAGUUGUAAUUUCGGACAUGUUCUACUUUGUACUUUUCUUUUACUUACUUAAUUAUAGGAAGAUUAACAAUAUUAGUAGAUCAUAUUAAGAUGUUUUAAUUAGAUCGAUCAAAAUCAUGGUAUAGUAGUAAAAUUAUAAGAAGAUUAACAAUAUUAGUAGAUCAUAUUAAGAUGUUUUAAUUAGAUAGAUCAAAAUCAUGGUAUAGUAGUAAAAUUUCGGACAGGUUUCACACAACAGCCAAAAAAAAAAGGUGUUUUAGUAUACAAAUCAUAAAGGGGAAUUGCAGUCUAUAACCAAAAAAAAAAUUAUAAUUCACUCUAUAACCAUUCUAACCAUGAACCGUCGAUAUUACAUGUAUUUCAUGUAUUAUAGACAAGUUUACCCUCAUUGCAUAAGUAACAGUUGCCUACUUUCGCAACCUUGAGAAACACGAACCGUAAAAGUGAAAAGACAAGUCGAUGUCUAAUCCUGCCAAUUAAACGACAACUUCGUCGCGAGAGAAAACAGAGAGUUAGGGUUUCACCGGAAUCGACCUUCUGGUUGGGAUUCAUCUCCGUCGCCGGAAUUAGAAGUUUGCCGUCACCAGAUUAGCGGUUGUCGUUUGUUUCUGAGUAAGUCGAGGGUUGGGAUUUCUAUAACUGUUGUCGAUUGCUCCAUAUCUAUUUCUGACUCAAUCUAUCGACUUACUCAGGUGAAUUGCCGUAAACCUUUAAAGAUCAACCGUAAACCUUUAACGCUAUCACCACCACCGCUACCUGUCACCGCAACCACCGCUACUGCCAUCAUCACCAUUGCCAUCGCCAACCACCACUACGGCUACCUCCGUAAUCGCUCCACCCAACACCACCGUAAUCACCAUCACCAUCGCCACCGUUAUCGGCACCAUCACCCCACCGUCACCACCACCACCACCAUCAUCUCCACCACCGUUACCACUGUUAUCGCAACCACCGCUACCGCCACGACCAUUGCCAUCGCCAUUGUCACUACUCACUGCUGCUACAAUUGUAAUCGCCACCACCCAACACCACGGCCAUCACCAUCAUCACGCUGUUUUCUAAUUCAAUUUCUUAUGUUUAUCUACCAUUAUCUUUUUCAUAAGCUAUUCCAAUUGAUCUAACAUUUGUUCCUUAAUUAAACAUUUGUUCGUUUUACCCUCUUCCAACUUGAAUCCACCCAAGUCAUAUCACAAAUCAUAGUUUGAUAUUUGAUAAUUGAUCGAUUGCAUUCAAUAUAGAAAAAGAGAUGAAUAUUGAUUGGAUGAGAAUGAACAAGAGAAGUAAAGAAGACGAGAAGAAGAAAAUCAAUUUUUCAAUAGAUUUGUCUCAAAUAGAAUAGUAUUGUAAGUUUAUGGAACAUCAUAUUUAUUAAUACCGUUUUUAGAUAUAUGUUUUGGGUUUGGGUUUAGACUUCUGGAUUUAGGGUUUAGUAUUUUAGAGUUAAAAGUUGAUUUUAAGUAUAAUAUAUAAGAGAUAGUAAAGUAUUAUACCUAUUUUUGUGUGAUUAUGUAUAUUACAACAUAUUUUUAAUUAUAAACAUGAUUUAUUAGGCAUUGUGGAUACCACUAUCACCACUAUGUUAAUCAUUAGUAUUUUAUUUGCUUCUAUACUAUUUUUUUUGUGCUUUAUAUAAACCAAGUUUAUUAAUUUAUUUUUUAUUUUUAUAAGUUGUUGUCGGUUUUUAGAAAUCCAAAUCAUAAUAUAUAGAGAAAAAAAGACCAGAUUUUUUUCUAUAAAAUUUAUAAAUUUAAAUUAAUGUUUUCAAACACUAAAUAUAACGUAAAAAUCAAAUAGGGUAGAAGAAAAACAAAUAUUAAAAAGAAGAAACAAUUAAGCUUUUUUCUCUCUCCUCACAGACGUCACCUCUCUUUUCCUUCCUCCUUCUAUGCGCGUGUCUUACACCCAAGGUGUGUUUUGUCUUUUCACUACUUAUUAUGGUUAUUCUCUUCAUUUUGGACUUUAGUAUGCUAUAUUCUUCAUUUUCUUUAUCAAAAUGGUCACUCACCUAAUUGCCCCAAUCAUAAAUGCUAGUACCAAAUUUUCAAAAAAAAAAAAAAAAUGUGUAAAUAAAGACCAUAUAUAGUCGCAAUUAAAGAAAGUUACUAGUUGUGUUUGAAAAGAGAAGCAGUAAAUGAACUUCACCAACAUACUUUUUAUUUUUACCAAAAAAGAUUUUCCUUAUUCACACACUUACCAAUAAAUGACAAGAAGACUUUUUUGAAAUACUUUGAACAUCAGGCCUUUCAUUUUUUUUUUGGUAAGGGACAUCAGGCCUUUCAUUAGUGUACGAACAUUUUAAAUUUUUAAAUUUUAGAGUGAAUUAGCGCAGAAGUAAAAUUAGGAAAAAUACAUAACCACCUAAAACGGAAAAUAAUUACUUACUAGUUAUUUGGCCGUCAAUGAGACAGCGCUGAAUACUCGCAACAGUGAUGAUGGUUUACGGCGACGGUGGCGUGAAGACUUAAGGCGACAGAGGGAUAUUAUAGAGGAGAGAUAAAAUGGAACAAUGAGGAAAGAUAAAUGGGUAUCCAAAAGUCUGAUAUUAACAAAAAAGGAGAAGCGCGUGAGGAUAUUUUGGACCGAAAUGUGGGCUAAAUAUUUACGUUAUCUUGGGCUGCACAUUAACUAACCAAAACUAAUUUGAUCUGGAUCCAUUGUCUCUCAGCUAUUUAACUCUAUUAUUUAUUAACCAUAAGCAAAAAAAAUUAUGUUCGUUGGAGUCGGUUCCUUUCAGGUUUAAGUUAAGACCCGUCCGAAUAUUUUAAAAUUUUGAUUUGUUUGAGUAUUCAAUUAGUUAAAUCAAAUAAAAACUAGAUCCGCAAAAAAAUCAAAUAAACCUUUAUAUCCAAAAAAAUGUAGAGAAAUUGCUUCUUAUAGCCUAGAUCAAGUUUUUGGAACAAAAAUAGCACUCAAAAGUUUAUUGGACAAAAAUAGCACUUAUUUUUUAUUUUUUAAAUUAAUAAAUAACUAUAAAUAGAUACAAAAAAUCACAAAUUCAUCGUUAAUAUUUUUCCGCCCAAAAAAAAAUUCCGUCAAAAUUUCCUGCCAAAAUAUUUUCCGCUCCCGAAAAAAAAAAUCGUCAAAAUUUUUCCGCCAAAAAAAAAUCCAAGAAUUUCAGGAAGGAUUCCACGAAAUUUAGGAAGUAUUUCAUGUAAUUUAGGAAGGCUUUCACGAUUCGUGAAACCCUUCCUGAAUUACGUGGAAUCCUUCCUGAAAUUCAUUAAUUCAUUAAAUUCUUCCUAAAUUACGAGGAAUCCUUCCUUAAUUUCGUUGAAUCUUUCCUAAAUUUCGUGCAAUCCUUUCAGGAAUCAUUUCUUGAAAUUCAAGGAAUCCUUCCUGAAUUUCGUGGAUUUUUUUGGCGGGAAAAAUUAGACCGGAUUUGUUUUUGCGGGAAAAUGUUGAAAAUUUUUUUUGGCGGGAAAAUAUUUUUACGUUGCGGAAAUGUUUUGGCGGGAAAAAUAAAUUUUGGUGGGAAAUUUCUAAUUUUAUUUAUUUAUUUAUUUUAAUUGAACUAAUUAUUCAUAUUUAAUAUUUAAUUAAAGUUUAUAGUACUAUUUGUGUAACUUUUCAUAUGUAGUGCUAUUUUUGGAAGAAAAACUUAUUUUAGUGUUAUUUUUUUCAAUCUCCCAAAAAUGUAUUUAUGAAUAUAUCAUAAAAAUAAUUAAUUAAACAACGAAACUUUAUAUUUCUUAAAUAUAAAAUAAAAGCUAAAACAUGCGUAAACAUCUAGAACCACUUCAAUUUUAGGCCAUGAAUUGGAGACAUAUUCUUUGAACCAGAGGGUGUGGUUAUUAAAGAUGUUACCAUUCAACAUAUUUCUAAUAUGUAGUAAUUUUUUAAUUAAAAAGGUAAAAACUAUAAAAUAAAUAAAUAUAGUUAAGUAUGGUUUAGACUUUGUCAAAACGCAUGGUGCGUUCUAUAUAUAUCCAUUUAGGUGUGGUUAUGAUAUAUAAAAAAUCAAAUAAAUAAAAUUUCUCAAAAUUGUACAUUAUAUUCAAAAAAAUAAAAUAAACUGAAGGUAUUUAAAAUAAUUAGUUAAAGUUUCAUAAUUAUUAAACCAUACCGCACUUGUGAUAUUCACCAUUCAUACAUUAUCAUAUACCACUUAUUUCAUACUAACUACAUUUGUUCUUCAUGGUGCGUUGCUCUCUAACGAACCGCAAUUAAACUGCACCGCACUAUUCAAUCUGUUUAUCCCGCAUUAUUAAAUCUACUGUCACCAUUCGGAGCUUUGGAUUGAGAUUUAAAACACUACAAUUACGGAUUUGAAUAACUAUUUUUGAAUACCGCACAUUCAUCACCAAUCAGCAUUUAUUACUACAUAUUGGCAUUUUUUAUUUUUUUUAAAUAAAUAUAUCACGGUUUCCAAAAAAAGUAAAACCAAGUAGACUGUUUUUCAAAAUUGAAACAACUCUUUACCCUACAGUGCAAUGAAAUCUGCAAUGGAUUAUACACUUUUUAUUAUAUUUAUUUUCUAAUUAUUAAAAAUAGCAAUACUUACAACAAAUUAUGAUUAUUCUUAUAUAAAUAUAUAUUUUACGGCAAGUAAAUAUAUACACUUUAAAAUUUUAUUAAUAAAAAUAAAAUAGUUAAUAGUUUCAAAUUUAUUUAUGAAAAAUUAUACAGUAAUUGUUAGAUUUUAUUGAAUGUUGAAAUAUCUUCAGGAGGAACAUGUUCAACUCAUCUAAUAGAAAUUUCAACUCUUCUUACUGAAACAACAUUACAUGUUCAAGAUGAUUACAAUGAAUUUACAAAGACGGAAGUAAUAUUCAUUGUGCCAGACCUUCCUAAACAUAAUAGAUUUUUACUGGGCAUGUAAUAGUACACUUAAAGAGCAAGUAUUUUGAAUUAAAUAUUCUACUGAUAUACAUAGAAAGCACCGAUAAAGAUAAGCUACAACUGCUGAAAACUAAACUGGUAUCUUACGGAAUAUGUGCCCAAACAAUUAGGUUUAGGCCAAUAAUAAUUUUUUUUUAUGAUUGAAAGUUUUUAUUAUAUAACAAUUUGGAUAUUUAAGGUACAUAAAUAUAUGAAAAUGUUUCUUUAUUACCACAAAAUAAACACUAAUUUAUAAUUAUAAAUAUAUUUCUUUCUAACAUAUUUAUCUAUAAUCAGCAAUGCGCACCGCUUGUUGUUUUUCUUACCAUUCAAACUUUUUAUUAUGUACCGCAUAUAGUUUUUUCAUCAAUCAAACUUGAUUCCGUACCGUUUAUUUCGUACUAACCGCACUUAUCCCUUAAAUAUUUUUCUCCCUCACGUACCGUAGUGGAAAGUGUACCGCACUAGAAAACUAUUUUUCUCGCACAACUAAAUACGAUGUUAUCCUUGAGACCCUAAAAAUCUGAGUUUUCUUGUUAUUGAAGGUGUUUAGUAAUGUGCAAACUGUGAAACAUGUCAACCUUAGAGCAUAGAGUACUGAAGCCAUUUGAUCAAAAAAAAAAAAAAAAAAGAGUAGUAAAACCAUAGAUUAGGACAUGAAAAUUUUGGAUGCAUUUUUAUGUAAAAACUUAUUUACGCCAUUUUAUGUAUAAAUUACAUUAUAGGAUUUUUCUAUAUAAAAAUAAUAAUUACUGGACUUUUUUCUAAAUAGUGGUAGUAUGAUUUUACUGAUAAUAAUUAAUUGUAUUGUUAAAAAAUUAUUAUUUUUAUUACUAAAAUUUUUAUUUUUUAAAUACUACACGAUGAAAAAUAUUAUAUUUUUUCUUUUCAGUUUUUUCGUAAGACAUCCAAAAGAUGUCAAAUUGGUCUAUGAAAUAUAAGAUUUUUAAAAAACAGUUGAGAAAAUUUAAUAUAUGAUUUAUAUCUUAAGGAAAAAUUAAUCAUAUAUCAAAACAAAAUCAUCCAUUUAAGCUUUAAAAAAAAGUUUUUUUGCGUGGGAAAAAUAAUCCAGAGUUGGAGAGCUUACAUGGAAACUAGAGAAAUUUCGUGCAUGUGCAUUUUUUUGCAGGACAAUAUUACAACGUUAAAGAUAAUUAAGAAAAAAUAUAUAUAUAUUCUAAUUUCGCAAAGGAUGAGCACUUAUCUGGAGGCUGGAGCAUCAAUCAGUUGAAUAGAAGCCUUACAAUCUGUCUCAAAAAUUACAUUGGUUAAAGAAGACGAAAUAAGGCAUAUCAUUUCCUAAAGUAGAGAUUCAAAUUCUGUGUGAAAGGAUGACAAUAAUAUGUGUGAGCUUUUUUACCCAAGAAGGAUAAAACAACAUAAUAUAAGGUAGAAAAAAGUGGAUGAUGUUGUUAUUUUGAAAAAAAAAAUAAAAUAAAAAAUAAAAUAAAAAUCUCCCGUAGUGUGGCAGUUUUGAUGAGAUUUUGAAUCCCAUGUUAUAACCGUGUUAAGACUAUAAUCGCAACACUCGAUUAUAGAAUCUACGAACGGUUCUACUAUAUACCUUCGAGACUUACUUUUAAAGAGUAGAGAAGAAGGAGAGAGAAUUUUGCUUGAAACAUUUGUGUUUUGAUAAUCGAAUGAAUGAGAGAUUGAGGAGAUAUUUUAUUAUAGAGAGGUGUAGCUUGACCUACACGUUAGAGAGGAAUAGAGUUACGGAAAUAUUCCGCUUUGUUCCACAAGGAUAAGGAUAAGGAUUCGGAAAUAUUACGAAAAUAUUAUUGAUACAAUCUAUAACCUUCUAGAUGUAUCCAAAAUUAUGCAAAAAAUCUUAAGAGAAAAUUAACACACUACAGGAAAUUUGGGUAUUGAUAGCACUAAAAGAUAGCGUUUUUUAUAUCUAUGCUAUCUUUGACUGAAUCGUGAUUUAAAGAUAGCGUUUGAUAAUGUGUAAACGCUAUCAAUGGUUUAAGCGGGAUCCAAAUUUUUCACGCGGCCAAAAAUUUUAGUUAACCCGCUAUUGAAUCUGGUUAAGCGAGACCAAAAAAAAAUGACCUAAGGCAAAAAUAAAGAAAAAACUAAAAUUCACUUUCCUCUUUUUUUCUAAGGGAAAACCCGAUCUAACACUUCCCCUCUCUCUGUUCUUGAGCCAUCGUCGAUUAGAGGAGAGUCUGGGAAAUGAAGAACGUACCUGAAGGAAAGAACCUAUAGAGAAAAUUUUCUAGGUUCGUGCGCAACGAAUCACCAUUAGAGAAGACAUUUCUCUGAGAUUUUGGGGCUGUGGAGUUAGAAAUGGUAAAGAUUAAAACCCUGAGAAAGAGUUAGAAAUUUAUAUUCGAUUGUGUUUAUAAUUUUAUUCAAUUAUGGUAUUUGCGUGUUUGAAAUUUGCAGAUACCAAUCGAAUCGUCAUUGCAAAGAGUUCCUUCAAGCUUUCUAAUCCUCUCGGUUGGUUACUUUAUUCCCUUUCUCAUCGAAUUUUUCAAUUUAUUAUAUCUUUUGCUUGAUCGAUUUUUCAAGUACUUAAAUCGCUGAUUCUUAAUUUGUUGAGUUUCUGAUUACUUGAAUUAGAUCGUGUAAGAUUCUGAUUUUGGAACUCAAUCUUGAUUAGUUUUGAUCUUCUGGGAUCAGAUAUGAUUUUGUAAUUUGUGGUUUUGAUUGGAUUGUAAUUCAUGUAUCAUUGUAGUUGAAAGAGUUAGCUCAAGCUUAUGAAGUGCUUAGUGAUCCGGAGAAGCGUGAGAUUUAUGACGAGUAUGGUGACGAUGCACUCAAGGAAGGAUUGAUAGAUGAUGAACAAGGAAGAUACUCUCAAUUCAGUGAGGAUUUUCUUCUAAGCAAUCCAUGUGAUGGAGGAGACAGCUCCUUGCUUACUCUUUCUGGGGACGCUUCUUCUGAUCUUGACCUUGGCUGUCCUAAUGACAACUUCUCCUUAACAGAGCAAUUGGAACUGCAGUUUUUGUCUGAUGAGCUUGAGUUAGGCAUCACAGACAGUGCUGAAACCCCAGACUUGAUGUAAGUUAACUUGGAGAGACACAUGGAUUGUUGUUACCCUUGAGACUGUUCAGAGUGAGUUUCUCUCCUUAACUUGCUAGCUUUUUUGUUCUGAUUGCAGGAGAUCUACCAAGUGAAUCAUGGCCAAAACUGUGUUCCUGCAUCAAUGUCUGCUACUGCAGAGCUUUCUCCAGGAUCAGCAGUUAACCACAUACCAGGAAUGAGAUGGAUUCCUGAGCUCCAUGAGCUUUUUCUAGAGGCCGUGAAAAAGCUUGAAGGGCCUGAAAGUGAGUUAGCUUUUAUGUUAUUCCAGCAACCAAUCUAUUAUUCGAAAGAGUUCUUCUGACCAAUAUCUUUUUUUGUUUCACUCCUGUUCCCAGACCCCUGAAAGAGAUUUUACUAUCAAGAUAUCUGGUCUGUAAAUAUACAAUGAAAAUGUUAGUGUUUUGCUGAAUUCAUAUUCCGGUCGUGCCCUUAAACUCCUUGAUGACUCAGAGGUAUUACACUAAUUUACAUUAAUUAUGUUCUUGCUCAUGUUAUGGCCUUGAUUGACUGUAGACUGUGGGUACGUCUCAAUGAUAUUAUCUCAUCAUUGUCUUUCUUUAAUCAAUGCUAGAUUGCUGGUUGAUUCCAUGGAUGUGUAAUGAGUUAGUAGUCAAAUUUUUAUCGGAUAUAGCUGAGCUCUGAUGUAGUUAAGGACGGCUCUUGAGGUUUUGCAGGGUAAACUCAAUUUGACAGAGAGGUAAAUGUUGGAGAAAUCAUCUCAGUUAGCUAUGGAGAGAAAUAAAAGAACAGAACUCUAUAACGCUUACAAGAAGCUGACGUCCAAAUAUAAGUUUGUCUGCAAAAGAUUUGGUCUUACUGCCGACAGCUUCCUUGAGGAUGAUGGUCACUGGACCAAGAGUGAAGAAUGUUGUCAAGUUGAGCAGAGUAUAUGCUUACUGAAUUCAGAACCUCCUAUUGAUGAUAUGAUAGAGGAUCAUGACACCACUUUCGUUUUAUAUAUCUCUGUUACAUGUAUACUCUUAUCAUUUGUAAAUAAAAUAUUUCCAACAAUAUUCUUUUGUUCUCCAUUUUCUUUGAGAUUGAUUAUUUAUAUGAGAUUGAUUAUUUUAAGGCAUGUACUUUAGGUUUCAAGUUAAAUGAUUUUAAAGAUUUUUUAAGAUUUUUUAAAUGAUUUUCGAAUUUUGUAAAAAAAAAGUUUAAAAAAAAAAAAACCAAAUAUCUCAAAAAGACAUAAAUAUUUAAUUAUAAUAUUAAUAAUUACAAAAAUAAUAACAAAGUUAUAAUUUUAAAGAGUUUAGGGUAUAGAGUUUAGGGUUUAGGGUUUAGGAUAUAGGGUUUAGGGUAUGAAAUGUAUGGUUUAGGUUUUUGGAUUAUAUUUGUUUGAAAUAGUAAUAAUAUUAAUUAUAACAAAUAAUAACAUAAAUAAAAUUCAUUUUUAAAAAUAGUUUAGGGUUUAGGGUUUAGGGUUUAGGGUUUAGUGUUUUAAAUAGUAGCUAAUAUUAAUGAUAUAAAGUAGUAUACUAUUAUAACAUAAAUGAAUUCUAUCAUUUUAUUAAUUAUAACAUCAUUAAUGUGUUUCAACAAUAUGAUUUACACAAUAAGAAGAUUAGUGUACAUGUAUUCUAAGGCAAUCAUAUGUGUUCCCUUCAAAUUUCUAAAAACGUUGCAAAAUAUUUUUUUUUAAAUUGCGAAAAAUUAUAUAAUCAUGUAAAUAACUCAUAAACAUAUUAAUUCAUCAAUAUAUAAUUUUUUAAAAUUAUAUAAAUAGUAAAAAUACAUUUUUAUGCCUAUAAACAAAAUAAGCCAAUCAUAAUGUUUCACUCGGAUUGCUGAUGUGGCGAGAUCUCAGCCAUUCAUCGGAUCUAAUACUUGAUCAAUUUAAUUACUCAAUCCAAUCAUAAUGUUUCACUCGGAUACAUGACGUGGCAACAUCUCAGCCUUUCAAAGGCUUUGGCGGCUGCAUGUUUAAGGUAAUCACAUCCGUUCAUCGCCCAACAAAGCCUUUGGCGAGAUUCUCUUCAACCCUUUCUUCCUUUCCUCGACAUCGACUGAGAACAAAAUUCACAACAAAAUUAAUUCAGAUUAGGUCUUCGUCUUUGGCGACGGCUACUACGACGCCGGCAACAAGCAGUUUCUCUCCGGGAACCAUGUCGACGCCAAUUCUCCACCGAUGGCCACAUCAUUCCUGACUAUCUCGGUACAUUUCAUAUAUACUGAUCUCUUGAAAUCGGUGCUAAUUCGUGAAACAGAAUGAAUGAAUUUGAGUUGUCUCUGUUUUGCGCAGCUGAAUUGAUGGGUAUCCCAAGAAUCCCACCGAUUCUACGGAGCUCGGCAGAGGAUCUCUCUCACGGAGCUAGCUUCGCUAUGGCCGACGCCACCGUCCUCGGCUCUCCUCUCAAAACGGUCAGCUUUUAGUUUUCUCUAUUAGAUCUCGCCUUUAAGUAAAGUUUCUGUAUGGACCAUUUGAAUUUGCGUUAGUGAUAUCUGGAGAUUUCUUUUGUUUAAGUAAGAUUAGUUUACAUAUGAACACAGAUGACUGUUGUCCAAAAAAAAAAAAAUGAACACAGAUGACUCUGUCUCAACAAGUGAUCAAAUUCUUCCAAAACAAGAACAAAUGGACUGAUAAAGCUUUGUCAGAAGCUAUCUACUUGACCCAUAUUGGCUCUGAUGAUUAUUGGGUUUUAUAGUUUUGGUUGAUUGGUUUCUAGAGCUUGUGCUUUUGCUUCCCUUGUUGCUGCAUCUUCUGUUACAAUUUCUCUUUCGUUUUUCAUAUUGAAUCUUCUUGUUGCUGCAUCUUCUGUUAGUGUGUAAGCUGAUGUUCUUCUCUUUAUUUGGUUUAUAGUUAGUUUUCGUUUUGGUUUCUUUUAUUGACUCUAAGACUGAAUUUGGUUCCUUUAAACAACCUGACAUAGUCAAAAUGAAUGGUUGCUGAUAGCAG
rnacentral:lncRNA from 1 species